GGAGGAAACCAAGGUUGCAAAGGAGGAUGGAUGAUGAAUGCUUUCGAUUACAUUAGCCAAAACCAAGGAAUAACCUCUGAAGAAAGCUACCCAUAAGAAACUUGCGACACACAGAUAAACGAAGUUGCCACCACCAGUGGCUAUCAAAUGGUGCCUAAAAACGACGAAGAAGCAUUGCUUAAACCCGUCACGAAUCAACCGGUCUCGGUUGCACUUGAAGGCCAUGGACGAGACUUUCAGUUUUACAAUGGUGGAGUGUUUGAAGGAGAUUGUGGAAAUUCUCUCACCCAUGCAGUCACCAUUGUUGGAUAUGGGACAAGUGAAGAAGGCUUAAACUAUUGGCUGAUUAAGAAUUCAUGGGGAGAAACUUGGCGUGAAAAUGGGUAUAUGAGGAUUCAAAGGAAUGUGGAAACGCAAGGUGGCUUAUGUGGUAUCGCCAUGAAAGCUUCGUAUCCAAUUCCAUAAGUUCAUAUAGGGGCAGUUACUAUAAUUAGCUAGUCGUGUCAAAUGGUCUAAGAUAUAUGUUGAUGUUUGCGGUUUGUUUGGAACUAUGAGUCUUGCACUCUUGCCAACCUUUUAUCUAUAUAAUGAAUAAAUGAUUAUUUAUUUACAAUUAUUGUAUCACCUUCGAUCUUUUCUGCUAUGAAUAUAUCCACAAUUCUCAUCUUAUUUCAAUCCAAUAUCUGCCAACAUUUGGAGCUAAAAUCUCUAACAUGCAGAGAUUACAAUUAAAUUGUAAAAAUUAAUUUACAAUUAAAUUUUAUAUGAAAAUUACGCAUCUCACAUUCAUUCAAUUUAUUUGAAUAAAAUAGCAUCAUUGUCGAAACCCUUUUUUGAUAAAAAGAGUCGACUUUAAUUUUGAAAAUGAAAACGAACAUAGGAGUCGCCACCAAUCUUUUUUUGUGAGGUGUGAUCGGGUCAACUCGUAAACGGUUGUUUUUAAUAAAUGGUUUGGAUUUAUUAAAACAACGCUUUUGGUCUAAGAAAUUCAGAAAACGGGUUCGGGAGUCGGUUACGUACGAGGAAGGAUUAGCACCCUCGUAACGCUCAAAAUUAGUACCGAAUUGAUUGAUUAACGUCCUAAUGUCGAAAAUUUGAAAAGAUUUUAACAUACGAUCUUCUUUAAAGAAAAACUUGAAUAAAUCAAAUUGGAUGCUGAGACCCACUUGUAAUUAAUAUAUUCUCAACUUUCUUUGAGGAUUCACUCAUCUAUUAUGUGAAAAAUUGACAUUUUUCAAAAUCACAUGCUGAGAAAGAAAAAAAAGAAUCAAAAUAAUGUAAUUUGAAUCUCUUAAUUAAUUUAGUAAGUUUAAUUCAUUCAAUCUUAAUUGAAGCAAUAUGCUAAUUACUGCUAAUUAAAAAUGAAACAUAUACGUGCAUACAAAAAUUCAAAGAUGAGAAAUAUUUAGCUCUUGAUCAAAAACCAAUUGUAAUUGGGAGUAUUUAUAACUUAUUGGCUUGAUGCGUAGAACAUGUAAAUCAACAUAAUCUCAUGUUGAAAUAGGAAGUUUAGUUCUCAUAAGUCAUGGUUUAGACAUUAAUCAGAGGUGUUCAAUCAAUAAUUUCUCUAAACCAUUAUGCGCAAAAUUUUACAAAAGUUUUUUAGACUCAAUCAAUAAAAGAUUGAGAUAAAAACUUAUCAGUAUUAGCAAGAUGAAUUGUCAUAAUUGCAUGAUAGAAAUUAAUUAUUUAAACAAAUAAUCUUGCAAACGACAGGUUGCAACACAUGUGAUUAUUUUGUAGAUGCAUCUAUCAAAAUCAUAUAAUAUCAAACCAUCCACAUGGUGGAUGAAUGAGUCAUUAUUCAUUUAAAAAAUACAAGACAUUAAAAAUCAACUUUAGCUAGUAAGUUUCUAACAAUCAAUUUUCUUUGAGAACAAUCAACAUAUGAGAAUUCUUUUAAAUUAAAGAAUCUUCUGGUUCUUUAAUGAAUGUUCAUAUGAAUUCUUAAUUAAUUUUUGCAUCAUAUAUAAUCCAUGAUGGUCUAUCUGGUCACUCCAAGUAGUAAAUGUAUUUGUAUCGGUAAACGUCUAGUUUACUUGUGUUUCAAUUGUACUAAAUUGUAACAAAUUAAUAAUUUCAUUAUCAUUUAUUUUACUUUGUAUCGACAUAUAAGUGAUAUUAUGACAUUUACUACUAGAAAUGUCUAAAUCAAUGUGAAUAUUAUAAUGUCACUAAGUCAACAAAAUAAAUAUAAUUUCCAAAUAAUUAUAUGCAAUAUUCGUUUCAAGGAAUAUGCCAAAAUCUUCAAAUAUCUUUUUUUUUUUUGCAACUUUAGGUGCAUCCAACCAUAACGAGCUUUAGAUAGAAUUAUCAUAUUUUAUUGCUCAUAUAGAUCUUUCAUAGUCAAAUAUUUUGCUUUUAACCUCUUCAUCGGGAUGAUGACAAAAGAAGAUUACAAAGAUUAUAAAAUAAAUAUAAAUUAAUAACUCAAUUCUCUCUUUUUCGUCCUUUCAAAAUAGAUAUUUAUAGCAAUAGUAAUUCAUAUGAAAUAUAAUAUUUUCCUCAUUCACAAUCUCAAUAUAAGAUCCAUUAUAAAUAUCCUUUAAAAUCAAUGAAUUAACCAUCACAAGAUAUUAAUAUAUUAGCUCUUCUAGAGUUUUCAACUAAUUUUAUACUAUCAAAUAUUGGAAUAAUAUUUGUUUGUUUCAGUACCAAAUAAGAUAAAUAUUUUCUAUCUUUAAUGAUAGAAUUCAUUACUACAUUCUCAUAUCAUUCUUCAAAGAAUAUUAACAGAAACAAAAUAUAUAGGCAUAUGCCACAUAUGUGGUCAAUAAUCUUUGAUAUCACAUUAAUAACAUAAGUUAUCUUUACCCUUUGAAGAGUUAUCUUGAGAACUCUCAUUGUUCUCUUAUUUAUUACUAUGUUCUUGCUUUUAGUGGUUCAUGAUUUUUUUUUAUGUUUGCAUUCACUUCGGGGAAUGCAACAAAUCUAGUAGGACAGACUUCUAAAUGUCUCCAUUGAUUCUUUAUAUCAUAAUCACCAUCGCAAACAUGCAUGGACUUCAAAUCAAAAUCCAUCUAUUCAUGUUGUCAUGAUUAAUCUCCAAUUAUAAUAAACAUGAUAUAAUAAAUAAUUCAUAGUAAAAUAUACCUGAAGAUUUAAGUGGUUAAAGGCUCUAAUGAUUACCCAUAGUGCACAGGCCUUAAUUGAAUAUUGUAAUUGCAAUAGCUCUAGAAGGUAAUCAACAACAACUUGAGCAACAGAUUUGGAGUGACUGUAUUAUAAAAUAAAAAAGAAUCAUGCUGAUAACGUGUUAUAAAAUAAAGAGAGAUGGAGAGAAUAAAGAACAAAGAAAAUAUGAAAGCAAUAUAGGAAGUACUUUAUUGAUCAAAAGGAUGAUUACAAUGCUUCAUCAGAGUCUCUAUUUAUGGGCAUAAGAAGUAUAAAAGAAGUAGAGAUCUAAUUCUAAUAACUAUUAAAAUUUAAAGUACAUUAAAACCUUAUAUUGAUCAUGAUGGGCAUCCAAUUAAUAAGAUAUUCAUAACCUAUUUAAAUAAUUUAACAUUUUAUAUUUAAUAAUAAAAACAUUAUUUAACAAUAAAUUUAAUUUUUUAAUUUUAAAAAUAAAUCUAAAAAUCAUAUUUAAAUUUAUUUUAUUAUAUUUAAAUAUUAAGAAAUAUUAUUAAAAACCUACCUAUAAAAGUUUAUUUUUUUAAAAUAAUAUCAACUGGAUUAAAAUUAAUUAAAAAUUAGUACCCAAGACCAAAACCUUGGGCUGCCCAAAGUACUCCGAAAAACACACAAAACAUAAAUAAAGCAAUAACUCUAACCCAGCCCAAGACUAGAUUGCCUCCCAAAGCUAGAAAGAAUAAGAACUUUCCAAACUAGUCCCAAAUUUUUUGACACUUGAAAACAACAAAAUUAAGGAAAAAAACAACCAUUGGUUUCACUUUUUAGCAUCAAACUGAGCUUUCUUGAUAUCUCUGCUUCCUCCCAUCCUCAACCUUGCUUCUUUAAUCCGAAGCCUUUACCCAUCAUCCAUAAACUUUAUCUCUUUCUUUUCUCUAGAGUUUUAUCUAGUUCUUUCUUCUUCUUUUUUCUUUGGUCAUCUCUUUCUCUCAAAUAUCUUCCUCUCCAAAGCUUAAUCACCACCUUCUCUUUCAAAAUUUUUGGUCAGUUUGUCCUAAAAGCCCACCAAAACCUAUAGAUCCAUACAUGCAAAUCUCUCUUAUAUUAAUCUCCCAUCAUCUAUCACAGUUUUUUUUUUGGGGUUGUUUUAUUUUUUUUCUAAAUUUCAUUACUAGGUUUUAAGUUUUCUUUUUAUUUGGGAGAGUGUUUUUGGUAAUUCAAAUACCAAAAUAGAAGUGAAUAUAUAAUUGAAAAACAACUUUUUUCCUUGUUUGAUUGUAUUUAUGAUUUGGUGGCGAUAUUUGGGUUUUUUUUACUAUAAUCAAUCUAUGCUUAUGCAUGCUAAUCCCAUCCGUCUAGUAUGGGAUAAAUUGAAAUAUAUGAAGAAUAUCCAAACAAAUAAAGAAGAAAACAAAGUAGAACGAGAGCGAGAGAGAGAGAGAGAGAAAGAGAGAAAUGAAUCUUUUCUGAUUUUUUAAUUGAUGACUCAAAUGUGUAUGUCCCUUUCCCCCUGCUAUUAUAUGGGAAGAGGAACAUUGCCAUGUGGAACAAGAAAAAAAGAAAAAUGGUUACAGGGUGAAAUGACCAAAACGAUCCAUUUCAUUAAAGGCCCUUAUCCUAAAUGUUGCGUUGCAUAAAUAAAUCAAAACAAAAAUAAUAGAAUUUAACAAACAACUUAACCCCAUUUUAGCCAAUUAAUCUAUCCAUUAACAAUACUCCCUACAUCAAGGGAUCCUUAUCCUUAAGGAUCAAAAUUUGGGUACUACUAUUGAAAGACUGACAGAAUCUCCUAAGAAGCAUCUUUAGGAAACAAGUUUGCCCAUUCAACUAAGACCUCAAUGGCAGCCCGAUGACCUAUUUUGGUAAUGCGGUGAUCUAAAUUCAAGAUGGUUCUUUUAGUAGCAUACCUUUAGGCUUGGUAGGAGGCAAUGUGGCAGAGGCAGGUUGUUGACCACUAUGGCACUUGAGUUGAGAAACGUGGAAGGUUGGAUGGAUUUUAGUGUCAGGAGGAAGUUGUAGGGUAUAGGUGACCUCAUCUACUUUGGUCGUAACUAAGAAUGUACCAAAAAUUUUUUGGAGAGAGUUUCUGAUUUCUAACCCUUCUCAAAGAAUGCUGUCAAUAUGGUUAUAGUUUCAAAUACACCCAAUCCCCUACUAAAAAGCUUCUGUCACUUCUUCUUCUAUCUGUAUAGUGUUUCAUAUUGUCUUGGGCAUGUUUGAGGUAAUACCUGAGCAAAUGUCGAGCAACCUCUCUUUAUUGUUUGCUACGAUCUACACUGUCGAUCUUAGAGGACCUAGCUAGAUAUGGAAGAUACUGAGGUGGAGGUUGCCCAUACAUGGCCUCAUAGGGGGUGGUUCGAAUGGUAGAAUGAUAGGUGAAGUUGUACCACCAUUCUACAAGAGGGAGCUAAUGGAACCAAUCUCUUGGUCUUUCACAUGUCAUGCAACGUAAGUAAAUCUCAAGGCAUCGGUUAAGCACUUUUGACUGUCCAUCAAUUUUUGAGUGGUAAGCUGUUUAGAUUUUGAUUUUUGUGUCAAACCUUUGAAACAUUUCUUGCCAAAAAAGAGCUAGUGAACAUCCUAUUCCUAUUAGAGAUUAUGGCAUCAGGCAACCCUUGUAACUUAUAAAUGUUGUCCAAGAAUGUUGUUGCCACAGAAGCAGCAGUAUACAAGUGAGCUAAUGCUAGAAAAUGACCAUAAUUGGUUAACCGAUCAAUGACCACCAAUAUCGUGUCUUUUUCUUUUGAGGAAGGUAGGUCCUCAAUGAAAUCCAUGGUGAUUUCAGACCAAGCCCUUGAGGGAAUAAGCAAGGGUUAGAGGAGACCAGGCUAGGCAGUAGUAUCGUAUGUGUAAUGUUGACACACCAUGCAUUCCUUGACCCAUCUUUUUAUAUCAACAUUCAUUAUAUUCUAGUAAAGCACCGUGGCCAUCCUAUGCCUAGUUGUGUGGGUACUUGAGUGACCACCAGCAACCUCUUCAUGAAAAUAGGUGAAUAGCUCUUUCCUCAGUGCCAAAUCCCACCACUAGAUUUUCCUUUCUUUUUUAAAAAAUUUACCAUCCCAAGUGUAUUUUGGGUGAGAUGAAGGUUGAUGUUGCAGUGUUUCACAAAGUUUCUUGAGCUUAUGGUUCUAUUUCCAUGAAUUAUGUACCCUAUUCAAUAAAUUCGAUACUAUAAAGGUACUUCCCAAUUGCCAACACAACCCUUCAGUAGGAUGUUGUCUAAAUAACCCAUCAACUAGCACGUUGGUGCUUCAUUUUCUAUAGGUUACCUGGAAGUCAUAUCCCAACAUCUUGGCAACCACUUUUAUUGGAAAGGGUAAUAACUUACUGGUCUGAAAGAAAUUUAGACUUUGAUGAUAUGUCCUUAUGUAAAAAUGAUGUUCCACCAAAUAUGCAUGCCAUCUUUUAACAACUAGCAAAGCUGCUAACAUAUCUUUUUCAUAUAUCGAAAGGGAUUGGUGCUUGAUGCCAAUGGAUUUGUUGAAAUAAGCAAUAGGGUGGCCCUUUUGCUGUAAGACUACUCUUACACCAGUAUUACUAACAUCGGUGUCUAUGUAAAACUCCACUUGAAAUUCGGGCAAAGCAAGAAUAGUUGCUAAGCUCAAGGUAAGUUUGAGUGACACAAAGGCUUGAUCAACUUGAGGUGACCAAUUCCAACUUCCCUUCUUCAAUAAUUUAAUCAGGGAUUUAACUAUAGAUCUAUAGUCUUUGAUAAACCUUCUGUAACACCUUAACAAUCCCAAGAACCCUCUCAAUUUUUGACUGAUUGAGGAACCUUCCAAGCUAUCACACUUUCUAUCCUUGAUUUAUCCAUAGCUAUCUUCCCAUUCGAAAUUGUGUGCCCUAGAUAAUCAAUAUGCUCAGGUUCAACAUGACACUUACUUUUCUUUGCAAAAAGUUGUUGAGCCCUCAAAAUAUCAAAUACCUUCCUUAGAUGGACUAAAUGAUCCUAGCCACGUAAGAAAGUAGACAAGUAUAUCAUAAAAAAAACUAAAACAAAAUUCCUCAAGAAGGGUUUAAAUAUGGAAUUCAUAAGGGCCUGAAAUAUAGAUGGGGCAUUGUUGAGACCAAAGAGCAUUACUAGAAAUUCAUAGGGCCCUUCAUGUGUUUGAAAAGUAGUCUUAUGUAUGUCAAGUUCCUACAUCCUAAUCUGAUGGUAGCCUGAUCGAAGGUCCAACUUGAAGAACACACUGUCUUUCCCAAUUCAUCUAGCAGUUCUUCAAUGAGAGGUAUUGGAAAAAUCUUUAUUUGAUGGUUAACUGAUUCAAAUGUUUGUAGUCCACGCACAUUCUCUAUGUGACAUCUUUCUCUUUCACCAUUACUAUGGGAGAAACAAAAGAAUUGUUGCUAUCUCUGAUGAUGCCAACUUGCAGCAUUUCAUGUACCAUCCUUUCCAUUUCAUUUUUUUGUAUGGAAGGGUACCUAUAAGGUCUCAACUUAACCACAAUGGACUCGUUCUUCAAGUGAAUUUUGUGAUCUUGAAGCCUUGGAGAUGGUAGGCUCUUAAGCUCUUGGAAUAUAUCCUGGAAUUCUUCCAAUAAUGGCUGUAGAAUGUCAGAAAUAGACGUUGUCAUGGCCCUUAAGAAGGGAUGCAUGAGAGCAGACACCAUAAUGGUAUAGGGUCCUAGGGUUCCACCUACCAUAUAAAAACACUUUAAACCUUGAGUGCCCUCUAUUAAGUGGAUAUUUCCCGAUUGAAUGCCAUGCAAAAAAUAGAUUUGGCCCUUGUACACAAACUUUGUAACUAAGGAACUGAACUCCCAAGUAAUAAUCCCAAGGGAAACAACCACUACACUCCUAAGACCAUAUCACAUUCUCUAAGAGGCAAGACAUAAAAAUCAAUGUAAAAUUCAGUAGAUUCCAUCUUGCAAUGAACUGCCUUACAGAUUCCCUUACUAUCAAGGUAGCUCCAUUAGCCAUUGUUACCUUCACCUUAUUGAUGGGGCUCACUGGUAAAGACGGCUAUUUCACCAACUUAGCACUUAUGAAGUUAUGAUUACUACCAGAGUCAAUUAAGAGGAUAACUCUCAUGCUCCACAUAUGGGUUGUUACCCUCAUAGUAUGAAUACCUUAAGACCCUUGUAUACGUAUAAGGACAAUACUAGAUCAGGGUUAGGUUCUUCCUCUAAGCUCAAAUCUUCUAACUGAUCACUACAUUCUUGAAACUCUUCAUUGUUUCCUUCUGUAGCAGGUUUUAACAACAACUAGUACAGCUUAGAUUUCAUACACCUAGGCCAACAAUAUAUUUUACUCCACACCAAUAGCAAAGUCCCUUAUUCUUUCAGUCCUCUAUUUCAAUAAGAGAUAGAGAUCUAGGUACUCCACGAGGCUGCCUUGAAGUUGUAGUUGAUCACCAAUGCACUGAUCCUACACCCACUUUAGGUGAAGAAAGUGCUACUUUAUAGACAUUAGAGUUCAAGGCUAGUGGUGGUGUAAUGUUCAGUGUAAAUGGUGUAGUAGUUUCUAGCUUGAGGAUCCCAUCUUGUCAACAGUCCUCGUUUUGAAGAGCCUCUAAAAAUGGCUUCCACCUAUCUACUGGUAAGAAAACCUUCCAUCAAAGUUGUAGGCUUUAAAAGUUGUAGAUAUUGUCCUACAUUCGCACGCAGGUUACUUACUUAGCAAGCUAAUUAAUGAUAAAUAUGUUGAGUACAUAGGGUUCAGGUAAGUGUAGUUGAUUUAGCAAGCUAAUGAAAUAGUCGUGGUACUGGUCCACUGACCCUAUAUUCUUAAGAGUCAUUAGGUCCAUCAUAAGGUCUUGAAAAGUUUGUGAAUCAAACUUGUCCUUGAGGCUCUAAGCAUAAGACUCCAAUUCUAGCAUAUAAAACCCACCAUUCUUUUGAGCAUAAAAGUGAUGCCAAUCUAGGGCUCUCCCUUCCAAGAUUAAUAUAACCAACCUCACUUGAGCAUUCACAUGAGUCUCUUUAGCCAAGAAAUAAUCCUCCAAUUUAGCCCACUAGCCUCUAAAAUAGUUCUAUCGAAACGAGGGCACUCUAGUCUAGAAGGUUUGGAAUUGACUUCUAUGUUACUUGAGUGUUGAGAUCCACUAUAUCCCCUCUGUAGUGGCAAUAAAGGGUCUUUAGGUGAGAUCCUAGUGGGGGAUUUUUCAUCACUCAUUUUCCCUUAUCAAAGGUUGAAAAUUUUCCCAAAUACUGCUUGAAUACCCCAUACAAUUGACCUUGAAGUUCAGACCUUAGCUCAGCAUGAAACUCCUACUGCAAUCCCUUAAACAUGUCCCCAAUAUGAUUGUCCAACUAUGAAAACUCGUAAUGCAACUUGGUGAACUCUCGCUGUAGGUGAGUGACCUUUUUUUACAAAUGCAUAGAAAUCCCUUCCCCAGCUAUGAGAGCCACCAAGCUCUAAUACCUUUGGUACAAGAUAAAUUGAAAAAUAUGAACAACCAAAAAUAAAGAAAAUAAACAUAGUAGAAUGAGAGAGAAUGGAAAAGAGAGAAAGAGGAAUCUUUUCUGAUUUUUUAAUUGAUAACCCAAGAUGUGUGUAUCCCUUUCCCUCUUCUUCUGUUAUAUAAGAAGAGGAAGAUUGCCACGUGGAACAAGGAAAAAGAAAAACGAUUACAGGGUGAAACGAUCAAAAUGAUCCGUUUCAUUAAAGGUCUUUACCCUAAAUGUUGCAUUGCAUAAAGAAAACAAAACAAAAAUAACAGAAUUUAAUAAACAACUUAACCCCAUUUUAGCUAAUUAAUCUAUCCCUUAACACCAUCUCAAGAAAUUCUAAAGCAUUCUAGUUUUCUGGUUCGUGGACCUGGCAUGCACCGACAUUGCUUUGCAAUAUCACAUCUACUCUUAAAACAUGAUGAAUAAGCAUUUUACUUCAAGUUCCAAUACAUUACCAGUAGAAUAUGGUGCCACCACUAAGUUUAAACUUUUCACUUUCAGGAUGGUAAAUGUACCACAAACCCCCUAUACUAUGCCCUGGAUUGCAUUUUAGUCUCUCUACUAAAAAAUAGACAAAUUGGUCCUUAUAUGUUAGAUGAGUGAGCAAACUAAUCCUUUUGUUAAAAUUGUACCGUAAAAUGCUUGUUUUAGUGUUAUAUAUAAGGUAGAACGACAAAUUUAGUCCUCAAUCUUUACACAUUUAUUUAAUUUGACCCCUACUCUUUUAUUUGAAGUACUUAGAAAUGUUUUAAAACUAAUAAGGCUAAAGGCUCAAGACGGCUUAGUAACAAAAUUAAAAAAAAAAAUCUAUUAAGCCUUUUUCAAAUUUUAAAAAUUAUUUUAAAAAAUCAUAUAAAUUAUAAACAAAAUUCAUAAAAAAAAGUUAUAAGCAUUUUAAUUAUAAUUUUUUUAAGAAUUUUUUUGAAGAAAAAAAACAUCUAGAAUUAGAUUUCGUAAAACUUAUAACCAUUAGAUGAAAAGAAAAAGAUCAUUAAAAAAAAAAUCGUAUCAACUUCAGUAAUUUCUCCAACAUUUGCAGGUAACUCUAUAAACCAAAAGAAAUUACCUGCAAAUUUCAUAACCUAAUUCGUUUUGGCGAUGUGUUUUAUGUGACAAUUAUUGAAGAUUGGGUCUUAGAACAUCAUUCAUUUUGGUUUAUUGAGUUACCUGAAAAUGUGGGAGAAAUUACUGAACCUCAUAAUACUUUGUUUUUGAAUCAACUUUCUUUUGUCUAACAGUUAUAAGAUUUUCGAAAUCUAAUCCCAAUUUUUUCCUUAAAAAAAUUCAAAUUUAAUGGGUCGGUUAUUUUCUAAUAAAAAUUUUAAAAUUUUGUUUAUAAUUUUUUUAUGAUUUUUAAUAUUUUUUAAGUUUUUAAAAGGGAUUAGUUGAUUUUUUUUAAAAAAAAUUGUAAGACUUUUUUGAUUCUUUAACUUUAUUAGUUUCAAAAAAUUUUAAUUUAUUUUCAAUAAAAUAGUAAGGAUCAAAUUGAUAAAUGUGGAAAGGUUUAGAUCUAAAUUUGUUAUUAUAUAUUAUAUAUAACACUAAAAUAAACAUUUAAAAGUGCAAUUUCAAUAAAGGGAUUGUUUUGCUUACUUAUUUAAUAUAUAAGGUCUAAUUUACUUUUUUUUAAUAAAAAAAAUUAAAAUGUAAUCCAAGAUAUAGCACACAUUUUCAGUAAAUUUACCCUUUCAAGGUAUAUAGUGGCUAGCAUGUAGCCAAAUUAAGAUUUAUAAGUAUGUGCUAUGCAUACAAAUACGUGGGUGACAAUUUUCUACAAUUAAAGUGUUUAAUCAUCGCAUUUUAAAUAAAAAUUAUAAAUAAUGAGAUUUGAAUUCAUUAAUAAAACCUCAAUUUUACCACUAGAACCAAUUUUUCAUUUUAAUUCUUUUAGUACAUUUUAAUAUUAUCACACAAUUUUUAUCCCCACAUUGCAUCUUUCAUCUGAUUUCAUUUCAUCCAUAUUGCCUACGUGAUAUAUGUUUUUAUUUAUUGUAUAUUAUUUUUAGAGACAUACAUGUGUUUCAAAUACAUAAUUUUUAUACAUACAUUUCUGAUAGAAUUUCUCGUAAUUAUUUUAAAUGCGUGCAAUAAUUAUGUUUUAAGAUCAAAUCCUGGUUUUCAUUGGUUUCUUGAAACUAAACAACAAAGAAAGAGAAAUUAAUUUUACUUUAGUGUUAAAAAUGCUAAAGUAAAACUGAAUAAUGGUCAUAUUAUUUUCAUCGUCUUCAUUCCUCUUGCAACCAUCUCAUUAUGAAGGAGAGCAGCCCUUGUUUUGUCGCCAUUUCUGAGGUAACCAGUGAUCAAAGCUUCAUAUAUCUCUUCACUCAACCCUAUAGAACGACCUUUCAUUAUUCUUAGAUACUUCUCAGCUUCCUCUCUUUUCCACAGUCACAAAGACCUCUAAUCAAUGUUGUAAAAACUGGUAAUCCAGGAGACAGUGACCUAUGCUCCAUUAUAUUUCAUAGUAUAAUUUGAGAACUUGUUGGAUCUUCCCCUGUUUUCCAUAACCAGACAUAAGAUGAAUGCAUGUGAAUUCAUUAGGUGAAAGUCCUUUAUCUAAAACAAGAGUUAAGAACUCAUUAGCUUUCUCUGAAUUCCCGAUUUCGCAAAGCCCUCUCACCAUUUCAUUGAAACUGGAACAACUUGGAACGAGUCCCCUACCGAUCAUUUCCUCAAAGUGUUUCACACCAGCAUCCAAUUCGCCCGCUUUAGCACAUGCCUCGAUCAAAUGGUUAAAAGUUUCAUCAUAUGGCUUCAAACCCAUAUUUUUCAUCUCUUGCAACAUGCUUUCUGCUUCUUGAAUUUUUCCUCUUUCACAAUAUGCUUUUAUGAAGGAUGAAAACAGAAAAGAGUUGGCACUAAAGUCUCUCUUAAGCAUUUCAUCAUACAACUCCCAUGCUGACUCCAAAUUCCCGAGCUUCAAUUUAGUAUAAACAAUGAAAGAGGAAGCAAUGGUAUCGAGAAUCAAGUUCUUUUGCAACAUUCUCUUCAAUAAUUCCACACCCUCUUCAAUUCUACCCUUUUCUAUAACCUUAAACACCAAAUUCGUAUUAACAAAAACUAUUGGAGAGCAUCUCUUACCAUGAAUCCUAUCCAACAAAUUCACCACAACUUGCAGCUUCCCUUCUUUACACAAAGCACCAAUCAUCGUCCUUACUGUAAUUUCAUUUGGGUAUUUCCUUUUGCGAAUCAUAUGCCCAUAAACCUCCAAACCGUUGCAUUUUCACCAGAUUUUUGCAUCCAUGAAACAAGGCAUUGAAAUUUGACAAGUUCAAACAAAACCCAUGGUUCUCCAAGUAACAAGAAACCUCAAAACCAUCCUCAAACAUUCUCAACUUUGCAUAUGCCUGAACCAACAAAUCGAACACCAAAGGACUCGAAUCAACAACUUUGUAACUACCCAGUAAAGAUUCCACAAGACAAAAUCUAGUUGAAUUGGAUUCACUUGUUUUCAAAGCUGAUUGGAUCAAUAUCUUAGCUUCAGCUAAUUGUUGGGCAUGAACUACAAUAUGAAUUGCAAUGCAGUAAGAGUCAAUCUGGUGUUGGAAGUUUUGGGUCUUCGCAGACCAGUAAAAGAAAUUUAAAGCUGAUCGUGCAAGCUCGGGCAUCUUGAGUUGGAGCAGUACUUGUUGAACAAGGGAAUGGGUUAAUUGGACUGAAGAUGAGGUUCUAGUGAGAGUAUCCCAGUUAUGGGUUUUCUUGAAUAAAUCAGAGAUGACACUAACAUUUGAGUCAUUGUUAGAUUGCACGAGCAAUUGGGAGGGGAUAAUGAUGGUUUUGGUUACUGCAAAUGAAGAAGUGUUGGUGAUUGAUGAAGAAACUAAAACGGAAUGAAGUUUUCUACUCAACAGAGCCAUUGACAGAUGCAUCGGUCGAUGUUAGCAUACCUCAAACAUGGACACAAUUAUCAUAUCAUCUUCAACUUGCUCUGUCAAAUGAAAAUUUAAGAUACUGUUCUACUCCCAACAUGAUAUGCUUCGACUUUAGUAUCCGAUUCCUAUUCAUUCAGUACUUGCUAUAUCAUAUCACAGAACAAAUAAAAGUGAUUAAUCGCAGCAUCCAUAAAAAUGGUCAAAACAUAUAGAUAAACAAGGAAACAUUUAAUAACCCCUAAACCUCGAAAUAAAAAUGAUACUUCUGAAACAUCAAAUUAAUUGACAAAAGCAACAUUCAUACACCAUGAGACAGAGUACAAGCAGUAGCAGCGAAAUCAGAAAAUCAAAUACAGAAGAAAGCAGAUAAAACAAACCGAGCCAUAACUCGAAAUCUCGAGACUCAAGUAGAGAUCUUAAAAUCAAACUUAGGGUUUCAAAUUUUACCUUAUUUAAUUUCCUGGUCUGCUGCAAACCUGAAGGCAAGAGAGAGCUUGAGUGAAGAGAGAUAUUCAAGGAAAUUUUUGAAGAGGCAUCCUCCAAUUUUAUAAGACAAAUCAUUUUAGCCAUUUAUUUAAUUUUUCGUCUAUUUUAAUCAUUGAACUUGCGUUAUUUGUCAAAUCACUUCAAAAUAUAUGAAAAAUUAAUGUUUAUUAGCUUUGAUGACGUGAUGUACACAUAGCUUGCCAUAUAGAUAUUAUGUCACCAAUUAAUUAAUUUUUAAUUCUUAAAAAAAUUCAAAAAAAUAUAAAUAUUUUUGAAAAAUUAAAAAUCAUUAAAACCAUUAAAAAUUAUAAAAAUAAUUUUAAUUUUAAAAAAUUAAUUAAUUACUGAUAUCGUAUACAUUUAGACUACCACAUGGAUGCCACAUAAACAAAGUUAACAGACAUAUACUUUUUCAUCCAUUUUGUGGUAAUUUGACAAGUUGAUAGGCUAAAAGUGGUGAAACUAAAAGGGAAAGCUAAAAUAACUUUUAUUUUUUAAACUUAAAGAGUUAAAUAAGUCAUUAUACGUUUUGAAGAAACCUACAUAUAAUUUUAUUUGGAGAAAAGUACAUUAAACUAGUGGCACAUGCGAGAAUUGCGAUCGAGCGACGGGCAAUGGAGUAGGCAAGGGUGAAACAACAUAUUAUGUUUCAUCAUUCGUUCCAUCCCAAUAUGGAAUUAUAAUUUUGAAAAUCACUAUUAACUCUAUGGAUGUCGGAUUUAUUCAUCUUUAUCCCAUCUUGUUUCGUUUUAAUUUAAUUGUUGUUAGUUAUUUUUAAUAUUUUCAACUUUUUAAAAUGAAAUAAAUAUUUAAACAUAAUUCUUUAAAAAACUAUUUAAACAUAAAAUAUAUAGAAUUUUUAUAUUACGCUAUUACAUUUUUAUCCGUUUAAUAAUUUAUAUAUAAGGAUAAAAUAAUAUUGUGAUAUAGUAGAUCGGAGCAAGGCUUACAUAACCACUCCAUAUCUAUUAUCUAAAAAAAAAAAAAUUCACCCUAUCUUGCAUUCACUUUUCAAAAAAAUAAUUUGUUCCCUUCGGAGCGAAUAAAUUUAAAAUACAUCAAAUGAUUCGAGUUUUGUCAUCCCUAACACAACCACUAUUUAAAUAAAAAAUUAUCUAACAAAUUUAACAAAAAAAAUUGAUAUAGAAAUAGAGGUGCUAAUGAGCCGGGCCGGGCCAGGCCCAAAAAAUUUUGGCCCGCGUCCUAGACCCGGCCAGAAAUAUGGGCCUAAAAUUUUGUCCAGGCCCAACCCGGGAAAAUUUCCUAAGCUCGAGCCCGGCCCGACCUGGCCCAUUUUUUUAAUAAACACCAAAAAUUUAUUUUAAAAAUAAAAAAGUAUUUUAAAAAUAUUUUAAAAUAAAAAAAUAAAAAUAUUUAUUAUAUUCAGGCCGGGCCAAGCCCGGGCCAAAAAAGUGGUGCCCAGGGCCCGGCCUAUUUUCUAAAUGGGCCUCGUUUUUUCCCAAACCCAUAUUUCGGGCCUAUAUUUUUACCCAAACCCUCCCAUAUUUCGGGCGGGCCGUCGGGCCAGGCCGAGCCGCCCAGUCCAUGAGCACCUCUAUAUAGAAAACAAAUGUAACUUCGAUAAAAAAUUAUUAAAGCUAAACUAGUGAAUAUUAUGAUCUCUCUAUUUCAAAUUUUAUAAUUAAGUUGGGACUCGAUCAAUGAGUGAUUUCAACUCAACCAAACUCUUAAUCUAUAAUAUAUUGCACACCAAGCCAAUUCAGUUCUUUGGCCAAAUUUCAUUUUAGAACUAUCGUGAAUUAGAUUAAAUUAUUUAUCAUUAUGUUAUCAUCUAUUUUAAGUCAAUGCCGAGUUAACUUGUGACAACAACUCAAUUAAAUAUAUUAUUAAUAGAAACUCUAUCACAUGUAUGUGUAUGCAUAUGAAUGAGUUCAAAUCUCAUCAUAUUCAUAUUAUUAUUUUUUAAAAUUUAAAAAGGCUAAAAUACCCUCAAAAAAUAUAACUUGUUCUAAAUAUGAGAGAUUAUUCUUGUAAUUUUCUAAUGGAGUUAAUGCUUAAUUAACUUGUGCCAUCAACUCAAUUAAAAAUUGUAUUAAUAGUAUAGAUUAUUAUAAAUUGAGUAGUAGACAUUUUGAAUGGAACAAAAUUCCACUAAUGGAUAUACAACCCCUUAGGGGUUUUUUCAAUGUAUAACAUAGAUUUUUAUUUUUAUUUUUAAUUUUUUUCCUUAGGUAAAUCAUGCAAUUGAAUCAAAAUUUACACCAAUUUUGAAUUAAAAAAGAAAACAAAAGAAAUAGAAAAAUGGAAAGCUAACCUUUUAUUAUGUUUGAAUAGUUAAAAUUUAGACUUGUCUAAGGGUUAAGUAGUCCGUUCGGUCUAGCCUAAUUUGGGUCAGGCUUGGACAAGAAUUUUUGUACUUCGAGUCGAUUCAACUCGACUCAGGUUUGAAUCUUGGAGCCGACAUUAUUGGAAAAAAGGCAGUUAUUAACCCCAAACAUGGAUCGUAAAAUAAACAUGAAGUAUACCCAAAAAAAUAUUUUUUUAAUUUUUAAAUAGUGAAAUAGGCUUUUUAAGUGAGCCAAACCAAAAAUGGGUGUAACUUAAAUUUUUUUGAAACUGACCUAGCCUAGCCUGUAAGUAACUCUAAUUAAAAUUAAUGAAAAAUAGUGGAAAGGAAAUGAAAGGGUUAAUUAUAAAGGAUUUUUGAAAUUAUAAUAUUUCCACUAAAAUAAAUAUAAGACAAUAAAGAUAUUCUACACACUUAUACAACGUUUGGAUUGGUAUUUUAUUUAACUAAUUUUUUUUAUCAACCUCAACCUAUAAAUAAGAGGAUAAUGUGUUUCAACGCACUCAAACCCACGUCUCUCUACAUUAGCAUUAAUACUCAUGCCAAUUGAACAAAUACUCAAUCAACUAUUUAAAUGACUUUUAAAAUACUUAAUUUUCAUUUACCUUAAUUUAGGGUAAAAGUUAGAGGCAGGAAAUGAAAAGGAUUUUUCAAGAUGUAAAAUAUUUUUUUAUCUUCUUCAUUUUCUAUAUAAAUUAGUUUAUAAAAAGACAUAAUUGUAGAAAAAUCAUCAUUAUAAAAGAAAUUUUCCUUUCAUUAAUUCCACCGGUUAACCAAAUAAAUAUUAAUAAAAUUAUUUUCCUUUAAUAAUUUUAACUAUCCAAAUAACCUUUCCUUUCCUAUUUUAUAAAAUAAUUUAAACUAUUUUAUAAAAUAGAAUUUAAAAAAAAAAAAAACCCACCCUCUGGACUCCAGUUUGAGCCGAGAAAGAAUGAACGAAAAAUAAAACCCUUGGACAUUACUUCAUAUAUAGAAGUAUGGUUAAUACAAAUUGGUUUAAAGCACAAAGAAAAAUCACAUACUCACAAAUUGGUUUAAAGCUUGAAACAAAGUCUAAACAUGGAAUCAAAUAAGUAGAUGAAGGAGAUAAGUGACCCAUAAGAAGUAAAAUUGACAAUGCAAUAAAUAGAUUUAUGAAUGGUGGGCACAUUCACGUUUACCUUACUAAUUGAAAGAGGAAGGCCAUUUGGUGGAGGAUCGGAUGAGGAAGGAGUUGGUGCAUGGCAUUUAUCGUUGGUCUUUUGAAAUAGACAUGAACAAUUGGGUGGUUUUGUGGGAGUUAGAGCAUCAACUGACUACCCAACAGAAGAGCUCUCGUUAUUUAAUUACCAACACGAGAAGAACCACCAGCACUGCUUGGACCAUCCUUUAAUUGCUAAGUAGACGAAUUUGGUGAUGUGAACUGGUAGAUUACCCACUCUUCUUCCCCCCUUGAUUUGGAGUAGUGUGGAAUGAGAAAAUUUGUGUUAAAGAACAUAGGUAGUUUCACUUUUUUUUAAUUUGGUUGUCCUCAUUAAAAAAAUUGAUUAGUUUGGUUACCCCAUCCUUAAAUUAAACGGGAUGCUUUCAAUUUUUAUUUCUUCCUUAUUUCUUUUGUCAUCUUCUCCUUUCUAACUUACAAACCCUAACCGCCACCUCCCUUAAAAAAUAUUGUUGCUUCCUCUAUCGAACUACCACUGGUAAGCGUUGUUUUCCCAAUGAAGGAUGCCGAGGGGCACUUUUUCUUUCUCCCUACUUUCCUUGUUUUCCUUCUUCUUUCUUGAUCGUUGCUUCUCACCGUUACUAUUGUGAUCGUUCGACAUCUUAUGUGGUGUUAGAUUGUCAAUCCAAAACCACCAAAGUGAAGCCCAAAUCCUAUCUUAAAAUCUAUAAGAUUAGAUUUCUCAAAAAAAAAAAUCCUCAAAAAUUGUGAGGCUUCACCAUCAAUAUGACCUGAUUUGAGAUGUCUUUCUACUUUUGAGCUCCUCAAUGGUGGUUCAAUGGAAGCAGCAACAACAUCUUUAAGGGAGACGACAAUUUCGGUUUCUGAGUUAAAAGAGAAUAGAUGAAAAAAAGGAUACAAGAUAUAAGAAAAAAUAAAGGGGAAAAAGAAGAAAAAACAAUAAGGAAAUAAAUAAAGGUGGAAGAGAUAUAUUAACGAUGAUUAGAAAUUUUAGGAUGACAAAAAUAAGAAUAAUAAGUGGCUAAUGAGAUAAUUUAUAUUAUUCAUAAUUAUGGUUGAGGAUCAAAUAUUAACUUUGAUUAAUGUCAAAAUAAAAAUAUCUAAUGUUUUUCAAAAUUUCAAAAAUUCUUUUAAUUAUUUUUAGUGGUGUUUGACUUCAAAAUCUCAAAAAGAUUUUUGAUUGAUUUUCCGUUUAAUUUUCCUUGUGUUUUAAAUCAAAAUUUCACAGAUUUAUAUUCAUCCCUAAAUUUUUAUAGUAGAUGUUAGAAUUAAGUGACUCAAAUCCUUAUUUAAAUUAAAUACUGUGGUAAAAUAAAAUAAAAGUAGAAUCCCUAUAGAAUUAUACUUCUUUUAUUUUAUUUUAGAAUAAGGUUUUUUAAAUCUUAUUAAACUCCAUCUAUUUGAUAUUAUUAGAAUAAGGAGUUUCACAUCUAUUUAAAAUAAGGUUUUUUAAAAAGAGAAGUGUUGCCCCAGUACCGAUGUUUGACAAACAAUGAGGGCAAAUGGUAAUUUCUCACGUCAAUCCUCAUAAGUCUCAGUCAUUUUCCUUCAAUUUUUGAUGUUCAAUUCUAGGAACUUCAGUGACGAAUCGUGGUGUUCACUUCUGAGUUAAUUUGAGACCUCAGCUAUCGUGCUAUUGUUUAAGCUCAAUGCAUUCUCCAAUACCCUCUUCUCUGAAAUUCUGUAUCGGUAUACGAUGACUUUGGCUCAUGAAGUAGCCUCUCAAAAAAAAUGAAGCAAUGCCCAUUAGAAGUCUUCGAUAAUGGUGAUGUCCAUGCCCCAUUUUGCUCAAAAUUUGAGUCGCCCUUUUUUGGGUUUUCAACUCAGAUCCACCUUUGGUCAAAGCGCCCUUUGCGGGUUUUCGCCUUGACCUUUCCUUUUUCUUUUUUCUUCUUUCUUUGUCUCCUAUUUUUGGCUUUGAUUGAUUGAUUUUUUUUAUUUUUUUUUUAUUUUUUUAUUUUAUUUUUUUGUUUUUUUGUCUUGUUUUUUUUUUUUUGAGUCUGAACUCAUGAGAUCAGGCAAGUCCUGGUCAUGCUUUUCGACUAGAAUCAAUGCUAUUCCAAAGUCUUCCACAUAAGAUCUUCCACUUUCAUCUUGCAUGUGAAAAACCUUCUUUGGUACCAGAUUUCUUUCAUAAAGCCCUUUUAGGACUCUUUAAUCAGGAUAAAAUCCAACAACAUCUUGAAGGGAUGGAAACUCGACUUCAAAUGGGAAAAGCUAUGCUGACUCAACGAGAGAGGCAUUGCCCCAGCAAAGAAUUGUAUCGUUCGCACUGUAAAUUUCUGACAUCGUGCUGUUGUGCAGAUUUUAUUAUAAGAAUCGAGGCAUACCCUGGUAUGAUCAUGCAAAAACCUUUUUUGAUACCAUAUUUCUUUCAUAGAGCCCUUUUGGGAUGCAACUAUGACAGAAAACUUUAGAUCUUCCUCUUUAAUCAGUAUAAAAUCCAGCAACAUCUUGAAGGGAUGAAAACUUGACUUCAAAUGGGCAAAGCUAUGCUGACUCAACGAGAGAGACAUUACCCCGGCAAAGAAUUGCAUCGUUCGCACUGCGAAUUUUUGACAUCGUGCUGUUGUACAGAUUUUAUUAUAAGAAGACAUCUUUGAACUCUAGAGGUAACUCAACAAGGUUUGCUUCGUCUCUGUGGUUAGGUCAAUUCUAGUCUUCACCAAGUUCACAAAUUCUAAUGAUUCCUUGAGAGGUAGGACCUGUUUAUCCUCUUAUUCUACCAUCCUCAACAAGUCCAGAGAUAGGCUACAAUCUAUGUCAUCUUCAAAGGCGUGAGAUCCCUCUAAACACAUGUCUCGCUCAAAAGGAGAUUCUAAGUCUGUAGCAGUGUCAUUCAUGUCGUUGAGAUCCAGGGCCCUACUGUAGGUACAAAAGAAUAUACAAAGAAUGUAUGAAUUUAAGAAUGAUUAUCUGUACAAUAUGAUUAUGAAUGAAUGAAUGGUUUGGAAAAAGAAUGAAAGAAUAAUUAUUCAUAAAGAAUGAAAGAAUAUUGGCUCAAAAAUGAUCGCAAAGAUGCAUUUCAUUAAAAUGAGUCUAUUUCACAAAAGAGUUCUUGUUGCUUCUAGGCUAAAAGCAACAAGUUUGUUUUGAAUAUUACUCUAAGUAAGUUCUAAAUACUAUAGGGGUCUCUUCUACAAUCUGAUUAUUUAGAACACUCCCAAGUUUAUAAGGGCGAACAUCUAAUAAGAUCUCUUCUCUGGUUGCUUCUUCGUAUUCGGCACUGAUGUGAACGUUUCCUAACAUCUCUUCAUUCAUCGCAUUCCUUUCAUUAUCUGUAUGAUUGAGUAGCGGGUUUUCUGUACUGAGUGAAUCUUCAAAUUUGACGAUGCCCAUAUUGAUAAGCCUUUCGACCAGCUUUUUAAAGGCAGUGCAGUUUUCUAUAGAAUGCCCCAUAAUUCCCGCAUGGUAGUCACAUUGUGCAUUUAUGUCAUACCAUAUGGGUACGGGGGUUGUAAAGGCUUCAAGUAGAAAGGGGAGACAACAUGUGCGUCAAAUAAACUCUGAUACAGCUCUUGGUACGACAUAGGGAUUGGUGUAAAUUGAGACUUCUUAAUGCUUUGCUUAGUGCCAAAUUCAUGUCUUGGGGAUAUCUGAUGGCCAGUAACAACCGACCUUUGCUGACCUGUGGUAAACGGCUUUGAAUAACCCUCAUUAUGCCUACCCGCAUUGCUCACCUCAUUUUUCCUCUUCCUCGAGACCUUUGAUGUAUUGUUUUGGGAGUUCCAUUCUUGCCCUUUCCAUUUGUAAUGAUCUUCAAAUUGUUUUGAGAACUCUACCCUUGCCUGUUUUGUUCCCGCUAGAUCAUCAAGGACGGCAAAAUUAGUUAGAUUGCCCCUUAGAUUGGAACCUGAACCUGUCGCGAAAUUCACCGGUGUCGAGGUAUUGGUCUGGAUGUUGGCAGUUACCCUUUGUGGAUAUGUGUUUGGUUGUGCUUGGAUGUCGGUUGGGGUAAAGUCUGGAAGAUAUGCAGGACCUUCAUUAUCAUUCCCAAAGUGGACCACUGGGUUUUUUUCCUUUCUCCAACCUCAUAUCCAACAACUGGGUUAAUUGGCUCAUCAGAUUUCUGUGGACUUCUAGCAUCUGAUCCUUCACAUCUUGUUGAAAUUUGGCCAAUUGCUCUAGCAUCUGUAUCUGCAUUCGCUCUAAUCUCUCCAACCUUUGGUCCAUUCCUUAGUUUCUAUUCGGGUACCGCAAAAAUGUUGGUUUUCCAGACUUUCUGAAAUAAUUUUACCUAAUUAGGGUCACUUCAUGAAAAUCUAAUGCAUAUGAUGCAAUGUAAUGCAAAUGUAUGAAAUGAAUGCCUAAAGAGACGUUGAUUCUGAUUCAAUUACAUUUAGGAAACUUUUCUAGAAAGUAAAUUCCCUUACACAAAAUGGAUACAUGUACGAUCUCACCCUCAUAUUCCAAGAAACAACAUCGGUCUUUUUCUUCAUCUGCAUGCUUGAGGUAAUCUCGCCGAUAGAUGCCAUUGCUAGCUCAUUUUCUUGAUCUUGGUCGCGAUCCAUCAUUUGCCCAUCUUCAUAAGGCUCAUCAACUUGUCGAAGGCUUUUGGACAAUUGUCUCGAACCCUUAGGCCACAAAGUAAAGAUCACGAACUCUUUCAUCGCCCUUCUUGUGUUUCUCGGAAUAUAUUUGGGAAGUCGUAUUGUUUUCCACUUUAUCAAGGAAUCCGUAUUUCAUGACAAGUUUUCUAAUUUAGUAAUCGGACUUAAAUCAAUAUCUCUUUCCUAAGAUGCAGAUGCAAUGCAAUCAUAAUCAAAGCACAAUAAGAGGGGUUAGUACAAAAAUAAACAAGGAGAACAGAAAGUAUCUAAUCGAGUGACUACUAGGGGUUCGAAGUGGUUCUAUCUAGGGUGGGCUCCUAAGGUUCACUAUGUGAGGUUUGGUUCUAAAGUAAGGGUACCUGAACCAGCAGAUUCCUCGAUCCUCACCCAUUAUAGGCUCAUGCGGACCGAGUUCGAUUCAGGGGAAUACAUUUCCCUAUGGCUGCACGGAGAUGAAAAUCUCAUGAAGACAUAGGUACGGAUGUAUUCCGAAAGCGAUCCACUAUCCUACACAGAGGUGAAAACCUCACGAAGGAAUAGCUUCUCACUCCCACUUAAAAGGUGUGACCAACGGCCAUGCAAUGCAAUGCAGAGAUAUAAAAAUUUAAAAUACAAAACAUGAUGAAAACUAUAACUCAAAACAAAUGAAAUGCAAUGAGAGGAUCGUAUAUUUAAAUUAAAUUUUCAACUUUCGACAAAAAGACAAGAAAUAAUCAACUCGUGGCUUGACUCUCUUAUUUAAAAUCCCCAGCAGAGUCGCCAAGCUGUUGACACCAUUUUUUGGAUUGAAAAACGGGGUCGACUUGGGUUUUGGAAAAUGAAAACGAAAAUGGGAGUCGCCACCGAUCCUUUUUGAUAAGGUGUGAUCGGAUCACCUUGCAAAGCGGUUGUUUUUAAUAAACGGUUUAAUUUUAUUAAAACAACGAUUUUGGUCCACGAAAUUUAGAAAAAUGGGUUCGGGAGUCGGUUACGCACGAGGAAGGAUUAGCACCCUCGAUACGCCCAAAAUUUGGUACCUAGUUGAUUACUUAAUGUCUUAGUGUCAAAAAACUGAAAACUUUAAAGAAAUUUAAAAUACGAUCCUUAAAAAAAACUCGAAUGGCAUGGAUUAAAAUUCAAAAGGAUAUUUGGCAAUUUGAAUAAAUGAGAAAUCGAAACCCAGCACCUUAGGGCACGUUCCUCAAAUUUCCAAACGCAAAACAUUGCCUUACUUUGAAAAGUUUUUAAAAGGAUAUUUAGCUAUUUGGUCGAACGAGGAAUCGAAACCCAGUACCUUAGGGCACGUUCCUCGAAUUUCCAAACGCAAAAUAUUGCCUUAUUUUGAAAAGUUUUUAAAAGGAUAUUUAGCUAUUUGGUCGAACGAGAAAAAUCGACACCCAGCACCUUAGGGCAUGUUUUCUCGAAUUUCCCAAACGCAAAAUAUUGCCUCAAUUUGAAAUAUUUUCCUUUUUUGAAAUAUGAUACUAAUAUGCAUAAUAGAAUAAUAAAUAUAAUAAUGUGCAUAAAAAUAAUGAGUAAAAAAACGAAAAAUCAAUCAUAGCAAAUAAAUAAAUAAAUAAACUAAAGUAAAAAAGAACACAUAAAUAAAUACAUAAAUGAACAUAAAAAACAAUAAAGGAAAAUAGAUAAAAAUUAUGAAAUAUGAACAUGUAAAUAAAUAAAUAAAUGAAGAAAAUAAAUAAAAGAUAUAUAUAUGAAUAUAGAUAUAAAUUAAAAUAUGUAGGUAUACGUGAAUUACAAAAUAUUUAUAAAAUAUAUAUAAAAAUAUAUUUUAAAAUAUAAAGGAUAAAUAAAUAUAUAUAUAAAAUGUGUACAUAUAUAUGUAGUUACAUGAAAUUAUGAAAUAUGAAAAUAAUGAAAUACAUGUAAAAAGUAUGCGUAAAUUUUAUAAAACAUAAGAAUAUAUGCACGUAUAAGAAAAUAUAUACGUAUGUGAAUUAUAAAAAAAAUAAAGUAAGAUAAAAAUAACAUAAAAUAAAAAUAUAUAUAUAAUAUACAUAUUUUAAUAUAUAUAAAAACAUAUAUGCAUGAGUAUGUAUAUACACAUUCAUGAGAAAAGGUAUAAAUAUACAUAUAGAUAUAAAAAAAUGAGUACUCAUAUAUAUUAAAUAAGUUAGAAAAAUAUAUGUACAGUAUAUAUGUAUAAGCUAUUAUAUAAUAAUAAUAUAAUAAGUAAUAAUGAUAUAAAUAAUAAUAAUAAUAAUAAUAAUAAAAGAUGAUAAUAUAUUAAAAAUAAUGAAGAAAAUAAUAAAAAAGCUAAAAAAGGGUUAAAUCGAAGUAAAAGCAAGAUAUACGGGGCGAAAUCGAAAAGAAAAAAGAUAAAAGGAACUAAAGUGUGAUGCGUGCUGAGAGAAAGGGACCAAAACUGCAAAUAAACCACAGCACGAAAACGCAGCGUUGAAAUGGACCAAAUUGAAGCAAAAAUAAAAUUAUGGGGGUAAAUUAAAAAUAAAAGAAAAUAAUGAAAAAGAGCCAAAUUGCAACACGCCACAAAAUAGGAGGGACUGCGCGCACAAAUAGCCCAAAAAUUAAAAACACGCGGAUCCCCUGGAGCGGGUUGGGUCGGCCAACGGGUAGGUCAAAACGGCGCCGUUUUGGUGCCCAAGAAGGCUUCCCAAAACGACGUCGUUUUGAAAGCUUAUUUAAGUCAAUUUUUUUUUUAAAUUUUCAUUCUUCUUCUUCUUCUCAAAAAAAACUUCAAAAACACUCUCCCCUCUCCCUCUUCUACGGCUAAGGGCCCGACCAAGAGCCGCCGUGCUGGCCACUGGCCGCCGGUGCCGGCACCGCCGUACAUGGCGGAGGGGAGACCUUCUCUCCGAAUCGUCUCCUCGGUCUCCUGAGCACCCCGACGACAACCAAAAAGGUAAAAAGGCUUCCCUUUUUUAUUUUUGUUUCAAAAAUAUGAAAAGCAAAAAUGAGAAAAAAACGGAAAAGAAAAAGAACAACAACCUUUUCUUGUCUUUAUUUCUUUUCAACUUUUGCUUUCAUUUUUUUGAUCGGUUUCUAUCUAUUACAAAAGGAAAAUGAAAAAAAGGCCCCCAUUUUACAAAUUCAAAGUCAGUCCCCUUAGAACCGAUUCCCCCCCAAAGUUACAUUUUCUUUUUGCUUUUAUAGCAGAUUGAUACAAUGUUAUAGCUUAUAUUAUUGUUAUGCUACUAUUUGGUUCUGCCUUGCGUGUUUGUUUCUGUCUUUGCAGGUGAGCAGUUUGGGCGAUGGCAGAAAGCAGGUAGAGAGCAGGUGGCAGAGGAGUGGUGGCAGUUGGGGUCGGUGGCUGCAGCGGCUGGAGCUAGGGUUAGGGGUUAGGGUUUGCUAUGAAUUUUUUAGUUUAUGGGCUGUUGUUGUUGGGCUUAGGUUUUUUUUUACCAUUGGGCCUAAUUUGGGUAGUGGGUUUAGUUUGGGUACUAGGCCUAGGGUCAAAAAUUGGUCUGUACAAUUAUAUCAUGGUAUUGAAUGUCUAGAUUGUAAAUUGAUUUGAAUAUAAUAGAAAUGAGUAUGAUAUGAAUUGAUUCGUAUGUGAUGGAAUAGUAUGUCAAAUAUUGAAUUGAGAUGAACAUGUAUAUGAUGUAUGACUAUGAUGUGUAUUUAUUUAGUGGUUGCCCUACUGACUAUCUAAGACAAAGUUCAGUUUAGUUGGCAUGUCAUAGGGUCAUCAAUAUAGUGAUUGAAAACCAUCAUUGUAGGGCCAUCUAGGAUUGUAGAUUAUAUAAACAAUAAACAUCAUCAUUGUUGGGCCAUUCAGGAUGGUAGAAUAUCAAAACAGUGAAAGCCAUUGUUCUCGGGCCAUCCGAAAUGGUAGAAUAUCAAAAUAGUGAAAACCAUCAUUGUUGGGCAAUCCAAGAUGGUAGAAUUUGUAAAUUGUGGAAACCAUUGUUGUCAAGCCACCCAGGAUGGUAAAAUGUGUAUAUAGUGAAAACCAUCGUUACUGGGGCCACUCAAGAUGGUAGAACAUACAAACUCUAAAAGUCAUCGAUGCCAGUAAUUUGGGAUGAAAAUAGUAAAAUAAAGGUUAUGCAAUGUUGAUGAAAUCGAUAUAUCAUGCAUUCAUACAUAUGAAAAAUGCAUAUAGUUAGUAAAAUGAGAUUGUGCAUAAUUUUGACAUUUGAUACGUGAAUGGUAAAUGAAAUGGUUGAAACUUGACCAUAUAUUGAUUACUUCUUUUAUGUUAAUGUUUUAAUUUUUAUUAACUUGAAUCAUGAAAGUACCAUUGAGCUUUAUCGUUUAGCGUACGAUUUGUUUAUUCCGCAUGUAGGUAUUAACAGAUCUCGAAGGAUCGAGGAGUGACCCAACAUCCAAAUCAUAGCUCUCGGCUCAACAAAGUUUGUAUAGUUCAUUUACUAUUGAUAUAUGGCAUGUACCUAAGGUUGAGACGGUUAUAUAUGGUAAAUGGUGAUUUUAGGGACUUAGAAUUGGUUGAUUUCCAUUUGAAUUUAAGUAUAUAGAAUGUUAAAAUGUUCAUAUAGGUAUGUUCAAGGUUUUGAUGGUGGAAUUUUGCAAAUGGCCAUUGUACUAAUUUGGUUUUGAGUUGUGAAUGUUCAAUUUGAUAAAUUGGAUAGUAAUGAUAUAUCAAUGGUAGUAUAUGUAGUGUUUGAAACAUGCAUUAUGCUCAAAUUGUUUAGAUAUACAAUUAGUGGUUUUUGUUAGGCUAAUAUCAAUUGGUACCUCAUGGAUACUUUGGAAACAGCAGGUGACACCGCGACCUUAGAGCCUAGACAUCUCGAUGGCACUCAUUAAACUCUUUUCUGAACCUUAGGUUUUCCACCGCUCUUGUCACUUUCAUGCAAAUUUCUAACUUCCAACAGUCAUCACAAAAUCAAGGUUAACAUACAAUACCAAGCUCAACUAAAACUCAAAUACACAAAAAUAUUCCUAGCUUCUUACCUCAAACUUCACUUGUUUGAUUGAUCCUUUAACCACCUCCAAUCUUCAACACUUCCAAUAAUAGGUCCCUCCUAGAAUGUAAUAAGAACAUCUAAUCAAACAAAAUCCUUUCUCUUGCAUAGAGAGGAUAUUUGCUCCGUAAUCUAGUCUAACUAUUGGCAAAUGACUCAAUUUAGAUUUUUUUAUGGUAUAAAUCUCAAAAUUAUACAUGAACUGGUUCAAUGUGUAAUGCUACACAUGAACUUUGAUUUUAUACAAUUUUAUACAUGAAACAUUAAUUUAAUUCAAUUUUCGCAAAUUGCGAACACAAUUACUGAUAUAGCAUCAUUUAAGUUUACAUAUUGCAAAACAAAUAAUUAUUUAUAUCUAAUAUAAAAAUAAAUUUAUGUAUUUAUUUCUUCAAAUGUGUACAAUCGAAUCAAAAUUAAAAUUUUAUAUAUACAUUUAAACCGCAAUCAAAGUUCCAUGUGGAUAAUUGCACUCAAUCAAAGUUCAUUUAUCAAAUUGUAUAUCGAAUCAAACUUCAUGUAUAGUUUUGAUAUUUAUCCCUUUUUCUUAUCUCACAAUUUUAUCAUUUAAUACCAUGCGAAUAGUUAGGUGUUUGUUUUCAGAAAUUUAAUAAUAAUAUUUCCAUAACAACACAUAUUUAAUGUAAAAGGUAUCGAAAAUUUUUUGAUACACUAUCAUUAAAGUUUUCAGAUUUAUUAAGUAGGAUUUAGAAGGUGACAUAUGCUCUUAUAGAGUGUAUUAAAAUAAGAAAAAAAUAUUUUUUUUUCAAAAAAUGUGACAUGUACUAGUAUUUAAACCAUAUUUAUAGAAAUAUAAUUUUCCAUCGAUUGAGUAUUAAAUAUUAACCAUAAAUAAUAGAAGGAAAACAAUAUUAUAAUAAUAUUGAGUAUGUUAUUAACAUAUUUUUUAAGUACUUUUUCUGACUGAAUAGGUGUUGUAUUUAGGGGUGAGUGCUUGAUCGAAUCGAAUGAAAAUUUUUUUAUUUGGUUGAAUUGAUUACUCAUAUUUAUCAUCCUAGCUCGAUUUAAUUUUUUUUCCAAAUUGAGUCAAGUUAAAUAAGUUUGUGUGAGUUAAGUUUAAAAAAAAAUUAAGCUGAACAUAUUAAAAUCUUGUUUACAAUAUGAAUUAAUUUUCAACUUGAAAAACUUAAAUAUCAUAUAUAUUUACAAACUCUUUUAAAAUAAAACAAGAGGAAAAAAAGGGCAUGCAAGAUAACUAGUACGUUAACAUUGAUGUCGUAAUUAAAAAAAUUGUUAUAUAAUUUCUAUUUUGAAUUAUAUAUGUUUACAAUUUUUUUUCAGAAAUAUUUUAUAAAUAAGUUUGAAUUUUUUUAUAAUUUUUUGAGAGGGAUCAAGUUGCACAAUUUCAAAAUUGUCAGGAAUCCAAUGGGAAUUUAUAUCAAUAUGUUAUUAAAUUUAUUCAAGUUGUAAAAUUUAACUCAAUUCGAACCUGAGAAACUAACUUGCUUAUUAGAGUUGAUUUGAAAAAAUUGAAUAACUCGAUUAGAUAAUCAAAUAUGAAAAAAAAUUUUAAUCGAAUCAAAUUUUGUUCACUUAUAAUUAAAUUGGAUUAACAUGGAGUAUAAAUGCAACUUGUUGAGUUUGACAGCUCACUAAGUUUGCCUUUUUCUUUUCCCUGUUUUUUCGCACAUGAUUAAAUAAAUAGAAAUUAUAUACAUUUUAACAUCAAUAUAAAAUUUUAUUUUAUUUUUAUUUAAUAAAUUAUUUUCAUGAAAUUCAUAUAAACAUUAAAUGUAAAUGAAUUUAAAAUUUUAAAAUAAUUUUUUUAAUUUUGAUAUUAAAAUCAAGGGCUUUCAUGAAUAAAAAACAUAGCUUUAGGGUUUAUUUAACUUCAAAAGGGCUCAUUUAAACCAUAAAUAAUAAUUGAAGGUCUUCUUAGUAUAUUAGCCAUAACUAAAUCACCUCAACUCUCUUGCAGGCAACGGCAGUUGACCCUGAUUAGCAUCCAGUCUUUCUCAUCCAUGUACCAAUCACACAAUGGAAAUUUAAGACAUAAUUUUAGCGCAAAUCCUGCUUUUGUCAAUAUUUGCUGCGCCAAUUAAGCAAUAAAGUAUCGUAUGGGCUAGAAUUUUGUCAAGUGGAUACAUGACACAUCAUGUCUAACUCCAAAUGUGCUGGAAAAGGAUGGCUCAAAAGCAAACAUUGCUUUUGGUUGGAAAGUGGUGUUGAUAGGUUAUGGAUGCGGGGUAGUGUUUGGAAUGGCCAUGGGAUGUGCUGCUUUCCAAACCGGCAAGGCGAAAAGGUUCGUGAAUUUUGGUUGAAGAACAACAUGAGAAGAAGCGAAGAAGAAAGCCAAAAUAUAGCAAUAGCAUCUGUGGAUGAAGAAGGAUCUAGUUGGUGCAAAUGAAGUUAAAGCAUUUGUGCUGAGUCUUCAUAAUUUCUUGUUUAGUAGUCUGUCAGAAAGUUUUUCCUAUGGUGAAAAGUUGCAUUGGUAUGUGUCUGUUUUUAUGAUUGUAAUAAUUCCUCUGUAUUUCAUUGCAUUUCGUACUAUUUGUAAGGGUUUAGUUCGAGUGUAACAUCUUAUAUGGUGCAACUAUGUAUGUCUUCUUUCUUGAUUUUCAAUUUUUAGUUAACAUUAUACUGCUCACCAUAAAAAAAAUACAUGUAGAAUUACAAAAGAUUCAAUUAUUCAAGUUUGAGUUGCACUGAUAAACACGUGAUGAUGAGAAUUCAUGAACAUAAGGUAUGGUUUAAGCCCUUUUGCCAUACGCAUUUAUGUUGUAGAUGUUCAAACAUGGAAUAAUUCAACCUGCCUUUGUGUAUUCUUAAUUUUGUGCCGAACCUAUAUAUCUAUCAACAAAUUUAAGAGUAAUAUUUACAAUAGCAUUGCAGAGUAACAUAUUUAAGAUUCGAUUACACAGUCAAAAGAUUGCAGCAACGAUGAGAUUAAUCCAAUUACAGGAAUUGGUAACCUAAAUGGCUUUUAGGUAUGUAGCUUCAUUGACGGUUCAAACUAGUUAAAAUUUCCAGCAUUCAUGUCUUUGUUUUCCCUCAAGUAAACGUAGUCAAUACUGCAAAUGGUGUGGAAGUAUUGUACAUUGUGGCCCAAAUGUCCAAAAUUUCCACAUUGCUUGUAAAUUAAGUUCGGGUGAGAGAGGAGGAAGCAACAGCAAGUGUGAAGUCAAUAGACAAUUGAUAACCUUAGCCCUUUUUGUGGAGUUAAAAGUAUAGUCAAUAGACAAUUGAUAGUCAAAUUUGUAGCCGUCUUCUUCCUCCUUAUUCUUAAUUUUGUGUGGAAAAUUAUUUAGGACCAAACUUGACGUGUUAUAGGGAAGAAGACUGUAAUCUCAUGAAUGAAAAAUAUAUAGUAAAAAGGAAGUAGUUGUUGAUCACUAACAACAUGAUGAUUGUGGAAAUACAAAAAUUCCCAUAUAUGUGUUGAAUUUUGUAUUAUGUGAAUGUCUUGCAUUGCAUGUGAAUUCUGCAAUGGACUAACUACGUGUUAUAGUCCUUUAAUUUGAGUUAAUGAAAAGUAACCAUUCUUAUCAAAAUUAGUUAUACUCUUAAUUUAUAAGAAAGGAAAGAGUAAUUUGAGUUUAACUCAAAGGUUAAUACUCGUCAAUUACUGAAGUUUAGCCCUAAUGACCCAUUUGUGUUAAUAAAGUUAACAUUUACUAUUUAAAAAAAUAUUUUUUAUUUAACAUAGUUAAUAUUUUUAAAGUUUUAUGGUUUUAUAAAUGAAAUAUUUAUUCUAGAACUAAACUACAAUUGAAAAAAGAAUUAAAAUAUUUUGUACACAAUAAAUGUUAACUCUAUUACAAAUUGGAUAUAUGUGAUUAUAGUAACUAAAAUAAAACAUUUAAUAAUAAAAGGAGGAAUUUGAUGCACUCGAGAUCCCAAUUUCUUUUACUCAAUUAAUAUCACAAUAAAUGGUUUAGUUUAUUUUUUUAUUUGUCAGGAUAGGAGGAAUUCAAUUUAAAAUUUUUAAUCCAAUUAUUAUCAUCAUUGAUAUUUUUUGUCAGGAUUUGUCAACUUGCUUAUUUUGUGUUAGUCAUAUACCACGACAUAUAAGGGAAACCUAAUUAAUAUGUAAAGUUGUCAAAUUUUGACCAAAAAAAAUUAACGAUAGGACUAAGAUUUUUAAAUAAAAACAAGAAGAUUUAAUUUUUAACCUUUUAAAUAUAGAGACUAAAUGUCAAGAAUUGUUGUGGCUUCAAUCUGGAAGAUAUCAUUCAUACCUUUUAUAAAGACUAAAAUAAUACAUUUAAUAAUAAAAAAAACUAAUUUAAUCCAAUUCCUAUAAUACAAAUAUAUCCCAAAUAAUUUAAAAGUGAAUUUUAUGUUUGGGUUUUUGAUGUGUGAAAUAUUGAUGGAUUCUAAUUAAGUUUUGAUUGAUAAACUAAUAAAUGUAAUUAAAUAUAUUAUAAGAUACAAAACUAUUGUUUGAUUCUCCAUAAGUCGGUUUAGGUCACUUUCAUUGGGUGACUUACCUCUAAGUCUUCUCACGUCUACAUUAAUUCACAUUUUCUUUUGAAUUUCUAUGUAGAAAAAGGAUGUAUGGAAACAGGAUUACGAUAGUGUUGAAAAUAAUGAUAUGUUAGGAAAAAAAAUAUAAAAAAAGGUGUAUAUAAUUAGUUAAAUAUAUAUAAAUUUUGUAGCGUUACUAUAAUUUUAAAAUAUAUUAUUGUUAAAAAUUUUAAAUUUCAUAUAAAAUUUUAAACAUAUUUUUAUUGAUUUUUUAUAGAAAUAUAUAUUUUGUUGAUGGUUUUAAGGCUUACAAAUUUUUAAAUAGUUUUAAAUAUUUUAUAAAGUAUUUAAUUUUUAAAAAUAUAUCUUUUUAAAAAGGAAAUUCAUUAAUUCAUUUAAUGAGUAAGAUCAUACAAUUUGAAGGGAGAAAAAUAAUAAACACGUUGUGCGCGUUGAAGGACAAGCUCUAUCAAUGUAACAAAAACUUCAGUUUCAACAUCAAUAGAUCAUUAUGGCAUGUUGACGAUCGGCUUUGUCACAACUCAAGCAUAAUAUAUUAAGAGUGAUUGCAAAUACUUAAUAUAAUAAUGAAAUCAACGAUAGAUGGUCCAAAGCACUUAAAAAUAUGUUUUUAGAUCACUUUAAAUUUCAAAAAGAAAUUAUUUUUUAAUAAUUUUUAAAUUUUUGUUAAUUGUGAUCGGUCACAAAAAAAAUUCCUUUUAUACAGAGAUUUUAAAAUUCUUUUCAAAAGAUAAAUUUGAGAUCUGCAUUGAAUUCUAGAGAAAGAGUAGGUUCAAGAGUCGGUUAUGUGUAAGGAAGAUUGUACUAGCCCUACAACACUCAAAAUUGGUACUUAUUAAUUAUACAUUUGUCAAAAAAUUCAAAAUUUAAAAUUGAGAAAUCUAAUGAUUAAUUAUGACCCCUUCAAAUAGAACACUAACUUUUCGAGUGAAUUAAAAUUUAUUAGUGAAGUAAUUUUUGGCAUCUCUUGAUAUCCACAAAAAUAUUAAAAAUAUUAAAAAAAACAAAACUAGUAAAUUCACUUUAUUUAUAAAAAAGAUAUCUCCAAAUUAAUUUGAUCAAUGGUUCACCGCCUUGGGCCUGUGUCCAAUGAAAGUAUAUUUUAUAAACUAACUUAUUAUUAAACAUUAAAAAGAUAUAUGAAAGAAUACUUUUUUAUUAAUUUUGUUUUAAGUCACCAAAAUCUAUAUUGAACAAAUCAAAUUUAGUGACAAAAUUAAAUAAAAUUUUAAGUUUACUUUCAAAGUUAAAUAUGAGUUAAAUGGUAAAUUUACUUAUAUUUUCAAAGUGUAAUGAUAAUGAAGUAUUGAUGGAUGUUAAUUAAGUUUUGAUUGAUAAAUGACUAAAUGUAAUUAAAUAUAUUAUAAGUUAGAAUAUUAUUGUUUGAUAAAUCACUUUCACAUUUUCUUUUUAAGGUUUCAUUAAUUGACACUUUAGAUGCUAAUUAAUUUUCUUUUUCUACGUAGAAAAAGGAUGAUUGAAGGAGAUUUCAAAGUUAUAAAUAUGUUGUUAGUCUCUUUUAGAUUCAUUCUAAUCACUCAUAUUAUUUUGUGGUUAAAAUAUUUUUAUCAUCUUUGAUAUUUUUCGGCAGAAUUUGUCAACUUGCUUAUUUUGUGUUAGUCAUAUACCACGACAUAUAAGGGAAACUUAAUUAAUAUGUAAAGUUGACAAAUUUUGACAAGAAAAAUUAACGAUAGGACUAAGAUUUUUAAAUAAAAACAAGAAGACUUAAUAUUUAACCUUUUAAAUAUAGAGACUAAAUCUCAAAUUUUAUCAAAGUACAAGGACAAAUAGAUUAUUUCAACCUUAUUUUGUUUAAAAAGUUUUUUACAUUUAUUAGAUCAAAAUAUUUUGUUAGUGCUUGUACUUUGACAACAUUUAAAAUUUAAUCCUUGUACUUAAAAAGUUAAAAAUGAAGUCUUCUUACUUUUCUAGUUUAAAAAACUUAGUCCUACCAUUAGGAUUGUAAGUAUUUUCUAUUCAAAUCUGUAAACUUGGAUAUAUGUUGAGUAGACUGCCUUCAUAUAAUGUUGCAUAUGAUUGAUAAUAAAAAACCUAUUAAGUUGAAAUUUUUUAAUAGAAUUAAAAAUGAUUGGACUAGAAUUUUUAAAUUAGAAAAAUAGGAGGAUUGGAUUUUUUUUAACUUUUAAAUUACUGGGACUAAUAGCAUAUUUUAAACAAUUUAUUAUUCUGAAAAUAAAAGAAUAUAUAGUAAUUAAUAAAAUAUUUUUUUUGUUUUUUUAAUGGAUUAUGUGGAGUAAUGUCAAGAAAAUUUAGGAGAAAUUUUGAAAAUUCGCUUCUAUGUACGUAUUUUUUAAAGAAGAACACUUGACAUUUACUUUGAAAUUUCUUCAAAACUUUGCUUUCCUUUUUAAUUUUUAGGGUAGUCUUAAAUUUAUCAAGUGUGCGAGGGUUGAAACAUAUUAAAUCAUGCUCUCUGGGCUUUUCUUCAUCAUCCAAACUAUUUUAUCAACUCAACUUCCCUUUUCCUACUUUUUUUUUAUUUUCUUGGCUUAUUCCGUCUUGCAAUCAUGAACUACAACACUUGCUUUCAUCUUCUUUUAGCUUUAUUCAUACCAUGUUCCAUACUUUGCUUGGCUAUGACAGUCAGGGAUCUCAACUCCGAUCAGUUUGUACUUCUCGAGUUUAAGGAUCACAUUGCCGGUCCUCAAAAUGUCUUGGCAAACAAUUGGACGGCCUCAACCUCUGUUUGCAAUUGGAUUGGUGUUUCUUGUGGCAUCCUCCAUAAAAGAGUUAUAGCUUUGAAUCUUACAAGCAUGAAUCUUAGGGGUACUAUCCCUUCACACAUUGGAAACCUUUCAUUUCUACUCUCUCUCGACUUGAGUAGCAACCAUUUCUAUGGCCAUCUCCCUAAAGAAUUGGGCCAAUUGCAUCGUUUGAGGAUCCUUCAAUUAAGCUACAACCGUCUUAAUGGGGAAAUUCCAUCAUGGCUUGGGAACUUACAGAGAGUUCGAAGCCUGAAAAUGAAAAAUAAUUACUUUACAGGCACAAUCCCUGAAACACUUGUUAACAUGUCUAGUCUAGAGAUCUUGAACUUGGCAUUCAAUCAAUUAUCUGGUCAGGUUCCAUCUUCCAUCUUCAAAAUUUCUUUUCUGAAGAUUAUUGAUCUCUCCAGCAAUAGCCUAUCAGGUAGUUUGCCUAAUGAUAUGUGUCAACAUCUUCCCAAGCUUGAAGGGCUUUACCUGAGUUGGAAUGAAUUAUCUGGUAACAUUCCAUUUGGCAUGGGCAAAUGCAACAACCUUAAAAAUUUGUCAUUGUCCCGUAAUCAAUUUAUGGGGAUCAUUCCAAGAAGUAUUGGAAAUCUAACACGACUCCAGGAAUUAUAUUUGGGGUUUAAUAAUCUAGAAGGUAAUCAAUUUCCUUGAUUUCUUGAAUUUAAAGUAUGUUUUUUUUAUAAAAGAGUUUGAUUUGUAAUAGAUAACAAAAGGAAAAACUUUUAAUUUUAUUUGAUGAAAAACAUAUGCUGAAAUAUAUUAAAAUCUAACAUCUCCAAAUUACUGUAGAACAGAAAAGAAAACCUCUUUGACUUAUGCUAACAAAAUAGGUAGUUUGACACCUUGAUUUUUCGAUUAUGUGUGCAGGUCAAAUUCCUGAGGAAAUCGGUAAUCUUCUUGGUUUGGAAAUGCUUAAUAUUGUAGCAAUUAAAGGCCUUACAGGUCAGAUUCCAACUUCGAUCUUCAACAUUUCUUCUCUGAAGGCUAUUAAUCUCUCCAACAAUAGUCUAUCAGGUAGUUUGCCUAAUAAUAUGUGUCAACAUCUUCCCAAGCUUGAAGGGCUUUACUUGAGUUUGAAUGAAUUAUCUGGUAACAUUCCAUUUGGCAUGGGCAAAUGCAACAACCUUAAAAAUUUGUCAUUGUCCUGUAAUCAAUUGACGGGGAUCAUUCCAAGAAGUAUUGGAAAUCUAACACGACUCUGGGAAUUAUAUUUGGGGUUUAAUAAUCUAAAAGGUAAUCAAUUUUCUUGAUUUCUUGAACUUAAAGUAUUUUUUUUUAUAAAAGAGUUUGAUUUGUAAUAGAUAACAAAAGGAAAAACUUUUUAUUUCAUUUGAUGAAAAACAUAUGCUGAAAUAUAUUAAAAUCUAGCAUCUCCAAAUUACUGUAGAAUAGAAAAGGAAACCCCUUUGACUUAUGCUAACAAAAUAGGUAGUUUGACACCUUGAUUUUUCGACUAUGUGUGCAGGUCAAAUUCCUGAGGAAAUCGGUAAUCUUCUUGGUUUGGAACUGCUUAGUAUUGUAGCAAUUAAAGGCCUUACAGGUCAUAUUCCAACUUUGAUCUUCAACAUUUCUUCUCUGAAGACCAUUGAUCUCUCCAGCAAUAGCCUAUCAGGUAGAUCUCUCCAACAAUAGCCUAUCAGGUAGUUUGCCUAAUGAUAUGUGUCAACAUCUUCCCAAGCUUGAAGUGCUUUACUUAGAAGAUAUUAAAUUUUCUUUGUUUCUUUAAUUUAAAAUAUUUUUUUCAUAAAAGAGUUUGAUUUGUAAUAGAUAACAAAAGUAGCAUUUUAUUUCAUUCAAGGCAAAAUAGUUAAUUUCAUAAAGCAUUUUAUUUAGAAGGUAUGUUUUUCACUUCUAUUUUCGACUAUGUGUGCAGGUCAGAUUCCAUCAAGUAUUUUUAAUUCAACUACGCUCGAAGAAAUAGAUCUAUAUGACAACAAAUUAGAAGGUACGUUUUUCACUUUAAUAUUUUCCAAACUCCAAAAACAUUGUGUUGAAUUUGUUUCUUCUGUUUACGUCAUAUACUUUUAUCAUUUUAAUCUGAUAAUAAACAAUAAGAUUUAUAUGAAUUGAUUUAUUUUUAAUUUUUUUAAUUUCCAUUAAACUUUAAAAAUUAAAUUAUUUUUGGGUACUUUAGUUUUUUAAUAUAAGUUACAUUAUUUAAGGGUACUUUAGUUUUUUAUUUUAAAAAAUUAUGGUGAUAUUUGAAUCCACAUCAAUACAUAAAACCUUAAAUUUAUCACUUAAAUUUAUGAUGUCACAAAUUAACUCGACACCAACUUAGGAAUUCACAAUAACAUCAUCAUAAAUAAUUGUAUUCAUUUAGUAUUCUUAAUUUGAUGUAUUCAUAUGUUUAAAUUAUGUUUUACUUACAGUUUAAUCUAUUUUUAUUUUAAUAUGGUAGAUAUGCCAUGUGUUAUUAUUAAAUAGUUUCAAAUUAUGCAUUUCAUUAUUUAUCAUAAGUUAUUCUAAAACACAAAUUUAUGUCCUAAAUAAGUGGUUCUCAUACACAUAUGUGUAUGAUAAAGUUUCUAAUUAUAAUUUAAGUAUAAAGUAAUUCAAUAUAAACUUUAAAUUUUUAUUAUAUAUUUUUAAAAACAAUUUUUUUAAUAGAAUCAAAAUUGUUAUUUAUAAGGAUACUAAAUUUUCUUAUGAAGUGAAUUUAUUUAACCAAAUAUUUUAGUAAAACCAAAAUUCUUAUCCAUACAUAUGAUAAAUCUUAAAAGUACUAAAAAAAUAUUUAAAAUAAUAAAUUUAGUAAUAUAGUAAACAACAAAGACUAUAUAAUUAUCAGUUCAAAAGUUUCUCAAAAUCCAUACAUUUAUAUAUAUUAUAGAUAUAUUUUUAAUGGCUUAAUGCACAGUUUAUUCCCUACAGCAUAUUGCUCUUUUUUCUUUUUUUUUAACUUUGGUCCUUAAUGUUUUUUUGCCCACUUUAGUACCUAAUAUUAUCAAACAUUCCUAGUGUAGUCUAACAUUAUCAGGUGCUCUUGGUUUAGUCCAUUGGAUGUUAAAAAAAUAGAUUGAGAUAUCCAACUAACCAUAAAUUGCCAUGUGGCAUAUGAUGGCAUCAUCAUCUAAAAAAACCAAAAAAAUCUUUAAAAUUUCAAAUAAAAUUAUAAAAAAUAACUACAAUAUAAAUAUAUAAUUGUUUUAAAACAAUAAAAAUUUAUUAAUUUUUAAAUUUGUAAUAAAUAAUACAAUUAUUAAAAAUUGUUAGAAAUUUUUAAAUAUUGUAAAAAUUUAUAAAAAAUUUAUUAGAAAUUAUAAAAGACGAUAAAAAUUUUAAAAAAAGAGUUAAAAACUAGUAAAAAAUUUGUAACUUGAAAUAAACUAUAUAUUCGCUAAUAUUUUUAAAAAAAAUAAAAAUUUGAUAUUAAAAUUGUAUAUUGUGGUGCAAUCAAUUUUUAUAAAAAAAUAUUUUAAUAAAUUUUUAAUAUUUUAAAAUAUAUCAAAAUUUAGUACUUUACCAACUCCCCAAUUCAUAAAUAGGAGGAUAAUGCAAUUUAGCAUACUUGAACCCACAUUCUCCAAAAUUGGCAACAAUGCACAUGCCAAUCGAGCUAAGACUUAACCGACAAUUCUUUAGAAUAAUUAAACAUGCAACAAUAGUUCUUAAGAUAUUGGUCUAGACACAAAUAAUUUAUCUUGAAAUAGUAAAACAAUAUUUGGAAUAAUUAAAAACAUAGAUAUCAAGUUUAUUUUAUUUUUCAAAAUGCCAUACUAACACAAAAACUUUUUAACCGUAUUAAUAAAUGAACCUAAAAUUUUCAAUUCAAAAAGUAGAGAGACUAAAUCACAGAAAAUAAAAAAUAUAAAAAUUCAAAUUCAAAUAUAUGAAAAAUACAAACAUUUUGAACAAAUAAUAAUCUUUAAAUUUUACAGUAUAAUUUAAUAAAAAUAAAUAAUUAACCCAAUAGAUAAAAAUCAUACCAGUUUACAUUAAAAAGGAUGGCUUUAACAUUUUUGUUUCCCAAAUCAUAACUAAUUAUUAUUCAGUGUUAGUCUCAUUUUUAAGAUUGAUUAGAUGCCACAUUCUCAUGCCAAACUUUUAUUUUUAUUUUAUUUCAAGUUUUACAAUAUUUUAAAAAAUUAUUAGUGUAUUAUAUGUUUUGUCUAUACAAACCACAAGGACUAAUUACUACUCAAAACUUCUUAUUAUGUCUCAACCUUCUAAUUGAUUUCAUCACAUUUUUCCAUGCCAAAGUUUUAUUCUUAAUUGAUUUAAAGUUUUGCAGUUUUUAUUUUAAUGUAUUAUAUAUCUUGUGAAUUUGGUAUUCAAUGAAUAUGUAUACUAAAAGAUGCUAUUUUACAGGUAAUUUACCACCCAUCACCAAUGCUCCAAAGCUUGAGUUUCUUUUAUUGUGGAGAAAUAAAUUUAGCGGAAACAUUCCCAACUCUAUCUCCAAUGCUUCCAUGCUUAAGAUUCUAUCCUUGUCACAUAACUUAUUCUCUGGCCCAAUCCCUAAAAUGCUUGGCAGCUUAAAGCACCUUGAAGUGCUCGAAAUCUUUCACAAUAAUUUGAUCACAGGAUCUGCUAGUGAUCAUGAGUGGAGCUUUCUUUCUUCUUUGACAAAUUGCAGGAAUUUGAGCACAAUAGAUGUUUCAAGAAAUCCAUUGAGUGGUGUUCUUCCUACUUCUAUCGGGAACCUUUCAAAAUCCCUUCAAUACUUUUAUGCCUCUAAUUGUGAGCUUCAAGGCAUUAUUCCUAUGGAAAUAGGUAACUUAACCAACCUAUUGCUUUUACAUCUUCGCUAUAAUAAAUUAAGUGGAUUGAUUCCAGCAUCAAUAGGAGGAAUGAGAAAUCUCCAAGGUCUACGUCUUUCCUCUAAUAAAUUAGGAGGGACUAUGUCAGAAAGCCUCUGUGGUUUGGAGAGACUAUGCGAGAUGUAUUUAGGGUUGAAUAAGCUGCAUGGAUCCAUACCCUCUUGCUUGGGUAAUAUUACUUCUUUGAGAUAUCUUUACUUAGAUUCCAACAAAUUGAGUUCCGCAAUACCCUCAACUUUGUGGAAUCUUAAAGAUAUCUUAGAAAUAGAUUUAUCAUCAAACCACCUUUACAAUUCACAUGCUAUUGAUGUUGGAAAUUUGAGGAGUCUACUGAAACUAAAUUUAUCAAGGAAUCUUCUCACGGGCGAUAUCUUAUCCACAUUUGGGGGUCUUCAAACUUUGGUUUCAUUAGAUUUAUCAAAUAAUAUACUACAUGGUCAUAUCCCAGAAUCAUUUGAUGGGUUGGUUAGUUUGGAAUUCUUGGAUUUAUGCAAUAACAAUCUCUCUGGAGUCAUUCCCAAAUCUUUGGAAAAGCUUUUAUAUCUAAAGUAUUUUAAUGUGUCUUUCAAUAGACUUGAAGGGGAAAUUCCCAGCAAAGGAUGUUUUUCAAACUUUUCUAGCACAUCAUUCAUGAAAAAUUAUGCACUUUGUGGUCCACCUAGAUUGCUAGUCCCACCUUGCAAAAACGACAUCCACAAAAACUCCCAAAUGAUUAUAUUGCAUGCUUUUAGGUAUGGUUUACCAACAAUUGGUAUUGUCGUAGUACUAAUAGUCUUAACUAUUAUGUAUAGAAGAUGCCAAAGAAGGAGUACAACUCUACGAAUUAAAGAUGAUUUGUUGUCUUUGAAAACACCGAGAAGAAUUUCACAUGCUGAACUUUCACGAGCAACUAAUGGAUUUGAGGAAAGAAAUAUGCUUGGUUCAGGGAGUUUUGGAUAUGUAUAUAAAGGGAGGCUUUCAGAUGGAAUGGAAGUUGCAAUAAAAGUUUUCAAUUUGCAAACAGAGGGAGCAUUUAGGAGUUUUGACAUCGAAUGUGAUGCUAUGCGUAAUAUAGUUCAUCGUAAUAUUGUGAAGGUCAUUACUUGCUGCUCAAGUGUUGACUUCAAAGCCUUGGUGCUUGAUUACAUGUCUAAUGGAAACCUUGAGAAAUGGUUACAUUUUGAAAAUUGUUUCCUUGAUAUCAUACAAAGGGUCGACAUAAUGAUAGAUGUUGCAGUAGCUAUAGAACACCUCCACAAUGGACAUCCAACACCUAUAAUUCAUUGUGACAUAAAACCAAGCAAUAUUUUACUAGAUGAAGACAUGGUUGCACAUGUUGGAGAUUUUGGUAUUGCCAAAUUGUUGGGAGAAGGUGAAGUAAUGAAGCAAACCAUGACUCUUGCAACUAUCGGGUAUAUGGCACCAGGUGAAUUCUUUUUUAUUUUUGUAUGAUUAUUUUCCUAAUUUGCAUUUUAUAUUUUUGUUUCAUGUGUAUGUGGAUAUAUAUUUGAAUAAGCAUUUUAGAAAUAAUUGAGGAUGAAUGAUGUUCUAAUUAUACUUGAAAUGCAGAAUUUGGAACAGCAGGAAUUGUUUCUAUAAAAUCUGACGUCUAUAGUUAUGGGAUCGUACUUAUAGAAACUUUCACAAAGAAAAAGCCAACUGAUAAUGUGUUUGUUGAAGAAGAGACUAUAAGGCAUUGGAUGGAAAGUUCAUUGCCUAAAGGAGCGAUAGAAAUUGCAGAUGUUGAUUUAUUAAGAAGAGAGGAUGAGUACAUUACUGUUAAAGCAAAUUGUAUCUCAUGUAUCAUGGAGUUGGCUUUGAAUUGUUCAGCUGAGUUACCAGAAGAAAGAAAAGAUAUGAAAGAUGUUGUGGUUGAGCUGAAGAAAAUCAAACAAAGGUUGCUAAACAACAUCCAACAUUUUUAACAGAGAUGGUGAGUAAUGAGUACUCUUGUGGUUAUUAAUUCACACUUAAUUUUAUCUUUAAUUCAACAUUUUUAAUCUAUAUAUUCUGGAAUUUUAAUCAUAUAUAUAAUAUGUCGGUAUUCGUAAAAAUUAAUAAACUAUUUUUUUUCUUUUGCUCUCACAUACUAGGCUCUCUUCAAAAUUAAUAGCCUAUAUUUUUAUAAUUUUUAAAAGAUUAAAUAAAAGUUUUAUCAUUUUUUGGGGGGGUCAAAGUACAAUUUUACGUUUAAUAAUUUAAAAUUUUAAAAAUUUUAAAGGGCCUAAAUGAAAAAAAUUUCAUUUUAAGGGGGGUCGGGACUCCUGCCAACUCCCCUAAGUAUGGCCCUAUUAACAAAGGCCUCAACAAAUGGUAUUAUUCUCAUGUUAGGGUUUUGUCUCUUGAUUCCGCUAAGAGUCCUAUGGGUUCAUGGAGAUGGUUGCAAGGUAAAGGCUACACAUGCAUUGGUUCGUAGUUUGAAUCCCUAUGCACAUAUCCUCAAUGAUUAUUCCGCAGAGGCUAGGGAUAAAAUCCCGACAUUGGGACACUACCAUUAGUUGUUGAGGGCCGCACCGAUUGCCUAGCAAACAACACUCAAAAGACUUCUCCUAAAGGAGUCGAUCUCCCUCAACAAAAAUUCAAGUACAAGGUCUACUAUGGGUGAUCGUAAUUUAUCCAAUCAAUGACAUAUAAGUUUUAUCGAUUUUCAAGUAUUUUCUAACUCUUUCUCUAUAUUUUCUUCUAAAUUUUUCAAUUCAUAGACAAGUAUAACACAAUGGUCUUAAUUGAGCUAGCUUGCCUCGUCAGGUAAUUUGUUGCUUUCCAUUUAUUUAGAGUUAUUUAGAGUGUUUUGUAUUUAAUAUUGUCAUAGUUGAAAGUAUCAUUCAUAAUCUAAUCUAAUUGUGUUUUUGGCCAGUGGCUGUUGAUCUAAGAAAAAUAAAGGUGGCCAAUAAGAAGAACGAAACUCCACAUCUUUACUAUCAUGUUCUACAAAACAAAGAGACUUUUUUCUCGAUGAAAUUUGUAUUGGGCUAUCAAUGUUUCAUGGAUUAUAUUGUUUUUCUAAUGUAAGAUUGGGUUUUGCCAAUAUUGCAUGCAAAAUCAAAGUAAUAUUUUCCGAUGCUUAGCUUAAUCAACUCUAAUGCUGCUGUGGAUUUGAUUUGUCUUUACAGUAUUUAGAGAUUAUUUUGUGAAUGUUAAAUUGCCUUUGGGCCUUUCAAAGGAAUUCAGCAAGCCUACAAGUCAUUUAAUUACCUUUGGACCUCCCAUGAAAUUUUUAUGUAUGAAACGUACAAUAAAUGGCUUGAAUUUCAUAAUUAUAUUAUAUAUAAUGAAUCAUUUGUUUCUUUCUCACCCUCUCCACCAAAAUGACCAUUAACAUCAUCAAAAUCACCUGUAUGAUCCUAAGGUUUCUUGUCUUGUCUAAACAUGUUUUUUUCUUUUAUAUUUUGUUAAUAAAAAAUAAAAAUUUAUUUUAAACUUUCAAAAAUUUAGAAUUUAAACCUCUAAAAUAGAAAUUUUUAUUCAUCAAACUUCCACAAAUACAAACCUAUAUAUUGUUGCUAAUCCAAAUCGAAUAUUGGGAUUAGGGUUGAAGCAAAUUUAAAGCUAAUUCUAUUAAGACCCUUUAAAAAUUAAUAAAUUAAUACAUGAUAACUUCUUAAAAUUUUAUAAUUUAAUUCUAAUUCUUCUAUUUUUAUUUUCUUAGAUUCGCCCCUAUUCAAAGCUUCAAGCGUUAUUUGGUUUGGUAGUAUAGCAUGGUUGUUGGAAAAUUAAGUGGAUUAAUUUAUUUCAUAUUUUUCAGUCCCACUCGCCUGUAUGUGAUAGCUCCAGUCUCUACAUGCCCGUGUGACUUACCCACAUGCCUGUGUGGGUUUUGGGGUUUUAAAUUUUUCUCUUUAAAUUAGUAUUCUAAUUUGUUUAAGUUACAAUUUAGUCCUUAAUAAUAAAACUUGAAUUAGACAUAGUAAACGUACUCAAACUAAGCUAAAAAUUUCAGGCUUGCAUAAUUUAACUAAAAGAAGGUUGGUAAACACUUUGAUCUAAAAUCGGGUUAGUUUUACAAUAGGUGGUAAUAAUGAAAAUGAUGGUACAUAAAAUAUCAAAAUAAUGAAAUGAAUGAUACAUGCCUAAGAAGAAACGACAAGAGAAUGAUAUGUAUCAUGACAUGUAAAUGUAUGAUUAUCUUUAAUAUGUUGAUACAAGAAAAUUAUGUACGAUAAGUUUAUAUGUAAUAUGUGCAAGUACGCUAACCAGUGUUGUUGCUUGAUGCUUAGGCAAGUGCCAAGCUAUUGGUUGAAUGGUAAUAUGAUUAUUUAAUGGAAGUAUUGAAUUGAUAAGUAUUUGAGUGAAAAUAUGCUAGUGCUCAUGAAAAGGUGGUAUGGUUUAAAUUAUGCAAUUUCUUAUUAAAUGACUUAUCAUGUGAUCAAUUCGAAAAAAGGCUUUACUUAAAUGCACUAGCUUGUGACUAUGGUUGAAUGAUAUGUUUAUGAUUUGUGUGUCACGCAUAGGGAAUAAGCGUGGAAAGUAAAGAAAUGCAAAUGAAAAUAAAGAAAUUAUGAAGAGUUAAAGUUAUAUAAAAUCCUACUAAGCUUGGGAUAAAAUGUAUAAGUGAUACUAUGAAUUUAUUCACCUUGUGAGUUGUUGAAUAUAGCUGCAUGAGUAUUGUGGUAUUAAUAGUGGGUUAUUCUUGAUAUGUAUAGAUUUCAUAUUUUGAAAUGAACUAAUAUGAUUAAAGUCUAUACGAGCUUACUAAGCAUUCAUUGCUUAUGUAUUCGCUUUCUUCUACUUUUCAAAUUAUAGGAAGCUCGAUUAGGUUGGAAGCUUGUCGGAGACAUAUCAAACUAUCCAUUGGUUAUAUCGGUAUGUUCAAAUGAUUGGAUUUUGGUUAUAAUGGCAUGUAUAGAUAUUUUAUUUAAUAAUGGACUAUUUUCAUUCACACGAGCAGAGACACGGGCAUGUGUCCCCUACUUCUAAGAAAAUUUUUGAAAAGUUGGGAAAUGUUCGUAUUUAAUUCAUAAAGUUCGGUAAUGCUCCGUAACCCUGUUCUGGUAAUGGAUAAGGGUUAGGGGUGUUACACCUCAUUCCUUCACCAUCGCAUGAGCAGCUUUGUUGGCCUCCCUUGGUACAUGCUUGAAACUCAAACUUCUGAAGUUGUAACCUCUCCCCUUAAUUUCUUUAAUCAAGUUACUAAUACAUGAUCUAUCUUCUUCCGCAGAGUUCAGUUUGCGUAUUAUGGUUAGCGCAUCCCCUUCUAUGCAUAUGUCCUGGAACCCCAUAUCUUCAGCCAUAAUAAUGGCUUGCAGACACACCCUUGCCUCGGCCAUCAUUAGAUCUGAAAUGUUUUCCCAUGGGUAGGUACAAGCUACCAUUAUUAGACCUUCCUAGUUUCAUGCUAUGAUUCCUGAGAUAGAACAUCUUGAUUAAAGGAAAUUUACAACAAUAUGUUAAAUUAAGAAUAUUAAAUAAAUAAAUUAUUUAUCAUAUUGUUAUCAUUAAUCUUAAGUUGGUGUCGAGUUAAUUUUUGACACCAACUCAAUCAACAAUAAAAAUAUUUUAUCAUACUCACAAUGUGUAUGAACAAAUAUAUUUUAUAUUAAAAAUAUAUAUUUAUAAAAAAAUAUAUGUAAAAGAUCUCAAUAGUCUCUCUCAAUUUCCAAAUUGAGGAAAUUGCUCACCCUAAAAAAAUCAGAGCAAUUUAGUCCCUAUUAAUUUUGAAAGUGAGCUACUAAGAAUAAUUAAUCAGGACGUUAAUUUUCCAUAAAAUGUACAUGAUUUUGGUUGGUAUAUUAAUAAAUUUAGCCCUCAAAAUUUACACACUUUGCAAUUUGGUCUUGAUUUAACAAAAUUUUCCCGCAACGUUUGUGUAAAUAUGUAAAUGUUGAGGUUGAAUUUCUUGAUUCUUUUUUAAAUUAAAGCCAAAAUGACAAAAUAUAUAAACAUUGAAGGCUAAAUUUAUAACUAUACCAAUCAAAAUUAUGUACAAUUGAUGGAAGAAUUUAACACCAUAAUUAAUUGUCCAUAGUUACUCACUUUCAAAAUUGAUAGGGAUUAAAUUGCUCCAAUUUUUUUGAGAGGGACUAAUUUGUACAAUUGUGAAAUUAAGAGGUAUUGGAGAGGUCUUUUUACCAAAAAUACAUCAACAAAUGAUUAUUAGUGGAGCGGUAAGCGUUUUCUAUAUGAAUUUGUUUAGUCUUGUGUUUGAUUCUCAAAUAAUAUUUUUCAAUCUUUUUACUUGAAGAUUAUAUAAAAGUAUGAAAAAGGUGAAAAUACACUUAUAAUAAUAUUAAUUUCCCUUUAAAAUAAGAAUAUUUUAAUAAUCUUAAGCCUCUUACUGAGUUGGUAUCCCAAGCAAACCAUACAUCAACUCUAUUUAGAAUAAGUUAUAUCAUUCAAGGAUACUUUAAUGUUCUUAAUGACAAACAAUUGGCGAGGGUAAUAAAUAUAAUUUUAUUGAUGUAAUAUGAUACAAUUUUGUUUUAUGCACAAUUUAAUCUCUUUUUUUUCAUUUUGAUAUUAUACAUAUUUCAUGUGUUAUUAUUAAUUAGUUUCAAAACAUAAAUUUCAUUCUUUAUUGUAUGUUAUUUUAAACACAUCUUUGUAUUCUAAAUUUGUGGUUUUCAUACACAUAAGUGUGUGAUAGGAUUUGUAGUCAAUAUUUAAGAGUUUUAUUGAGUUGGUGUUACCCUCAAUCACAUCACCAACUCAGUAAUGUAUUUACCAAAAGCCCCUCAUUUUUAAGCUAUUACUAUAUUUAAGUGUUUUAGAGUUAGUGUCACCUUCAACUACGUCAUCAACUCAAUUAUAAAAUUAUAAAAUUUAUAAUUAAUAUUAUUAUUUUGUCACUUUUGUGUUUUUAUACUUGUAUAUCAUCUUUAAUUAAAAGAAUUAUAAAUUAUAAAUCUAAAGAUUGAACACGUAUUUACUAGUAUUAAAAUUAUAAGUACUUUACCACCCAACCUAUACUCAAUUUGAAAGAAAAUAUUUUUAACAUAAAAUGGGUGUGACAAAAAUUGGUUAUAUAUAUGUUUUUCAUAUAUUAUAAUAUAUGUUUUCAAAAAAUAUAUAUAUAUAAACUACAGAUGUAAUUGUAAGACACAUUAUACUCAUAAAUAAAAAAUAUAAAUUCAAAGUUUAAAAAAAAUAUUGCCACAAACUCUAAAAAGGAGAUGAAGGAUACCAUAAAAGUAAAUAUAUAUUUAUUAUAAUUUGAUUACAUCAGUUGGUUGAAUUAAAUAUUUCAUUACUCAAUAAUCAAUUCGCUUAAACUAUUAUAAUUAAUUUUAAAAUUGAUUUUACGAGGGGCGUAUAGCUAGGGACAUGGGCUUGACCGAGUCAACUCAACCUAUAUCAUCUGUUUCUAUUGAGUUUUGCUCGACCCUACCCCAAAGACCUGUCAAUGUUGUUAAAAUUGAAAUAUUUAACUUGUUGGAGAAGACUAACGGUAGAAAAGUAAGUCAAUGCUAAAAUGAUAUGUCGACGUUUUUGUUUUUUAGUUUUUGGUGUAAGACGUUUUGUUGUUUUCAAAAUAGUUGAUAAGCCUGAAAUUAUAAAAGAUAAUCAUGAGGUCUUAAAUGCAAUUAUGAUAUUUCUAAAAAGAUAUUUCUCAACAAUUUUUUUAAUUUCUUUAUUGAUGAAAACAAAUUUAGGUAUUUCCCAAUUUGUAAAAACAUGUUUUUUUUUUAAUUUCUAGGUUUUUCUUAGCUUUUUUAUAUUAUUUUGGAAUUUUUGUAAUAUUCUUAUAAUUUCUUAAAAAAUAAGAAAAUAAAAGAAUAAUAAUGAAAUUCGCCUAAAAACAAUUACAAGGACUAGAUGAAGAAUUUGACCUAAAACUUUGUUUGAAAUGAUGUCAUUAAUGUGUUACAUCAGCUUUCUUAGAGAGCUAAAGAUUAAAUGAAUUUAAGAUACCAUGAAACUUGUAUCUCUUUCCAAUAAUUUAACAUUAUUUCAAUAUUUUCAUCUUGAAAAAGAUCAAAUUCAAAAUGAUAUGUCAAAUUUUUUAAAUGAAAAGAUUGAAAUGGCAUUAGAUGAAUAAAAAAAAUUCAAGUUUUAUGGUAUCCCAAUGUCAUUUAAUCCUUUGUUGCGUAGGGGUAUAACUUUAAGGUGAGUUAUUACAAAGUAACAAAUGGAUAAUAUUCGUGACCAUAUAUUUACUUCAAAAGAUUGGUGACCAAAACUAUAAUUUUAAGCAAACAUAAGUGACAGAAUUUGUGACUUUUCAUUUUUUUCAUUUUCAAAAAAUUUUGGUUUUACAUUUUAGGCAUAAUGACAAAUUUAGCUCUAACAUUUUUUUCAUUUUACCUCAUUUGUUUUUAUUGCUAUAGCCCUCAAGAGUAACAAAUUAAAAAAUUAAUUUAGCCUUUAUGAAAAAAGUGCACCAAUUGAGUACUCAAUGAUUUAAAAAAAAAUCAACUGACCUUUUCAUUUAACAAAAACUGUGAAUUAAACGAUUUAACCGUUAAUUUAACUAAUGUUACGGACAGAAAUCACCAAAAAUUGUCAUAUGAUAGUAUGAUAAUGUAGCAUGCCACAUAAAAAAAUAAAAAAAUAUUUUUAACAAAAAAAUAAUUAAAAAAAACAUUUUUAAAUUUACUUGCAACAACCUUAAGUAACAUCAUCCACAAAAGCUUGAAGGUUCAUAUCCAUAGAACCACCUUUCAUGGCGGCUUCCCUCGCCAACCCUUUCCAUUUCUCAACAUUUUUCUUCACUUCCAUCCUUUUCUCUUCAUCCCCCAUCACCAAAUCCAAGCACCUAACAAUGUCAUCACGUUAAUUUAUUGAAAGAAUAUUUUAUAAAUUAACUUAUUAUUAAACAUUAAAAAAUAUUUGAAAGAAUAUUCUUGAUAUAAUAUAUUUAUAAUAUUAAAAAUAUAAUUUAUGCUUUAAUUAUAAAGAAAUUUUUGAAAGAUGAAUUUAUUAUAAUGUGUAGAUAUGUAUAAUAUAAUUUUUUUCGGUGAAUAAUUAAAUAUCAUUAAAUCAUUUUGUAAGUUUAUCAUAAUUUUUAUAAAUGAUACAAAAAAUAAUUUAAAGCAUAUUAUUCUAUAAAAAUAUUAAAAUUACUAAAUCAUAUUAUAAUGAAAGAUGCAAAAUAGAUACAAGAAUAUAGUAUAAGAGGUUACAAUUCUUGUUGUAGAUAUAUAAUUUAGUAGUAAUAUUUUAAAAUAUGUUGUUAGUUCUUAUAUUUCAAUAAGUUCAUUCUUUAUACUUUAAAAGUUAUAAAUUUAAUCCCUUAUUUUUUCAAUUUAAAAUUUUAAUUAAAUUAUUGUCAUCUUUGAUAUUUUUUGUCAGAACUUGUCAACUUGUUUCUUUUGUGUUAGUCAUAUACCACGACGUAGAAGGAAAACCUAAUUAAUAUGUAAAGUUAACAAAUUUUGACAAAAAAAAUUAACGAUAGGACUAAGAUUUUUAAAUAAAAACAAGAAGACUUAAUUUUUAAUCUUUUAAGUAUAAGGACUAAAUCUCAAAUUUUAUCAAAGUAUAAGGACAAAUAGAUUAUUUCAACCUUAUUUUGUUUAAAAAGUUUUUUACAUUUAUUAGCUCAAAAUAUUUUGUUUGUGUUUGUACUUUGACAACAUUUAAAAUUUAAUCCUUGUACUUAAAAAGUUCAAAUUAAGUCUUCUUACUUUUCUAGUUUAAAAAACUUAGUCCUACCAUUAGGAUUGUAAGUAUUUUCUAUUCAAAUCUGUAAACUUGGAUAUAUGUUGAGUAGACUGUCUUCAUAUAAUGUUGCAUAUGAUUGAUUGUAACACCCUAAACCCGGCCUAGACGUUAUGGCCGAAUCUAGUGAUGUCACAUGAAAUGGGAUUUGAAGACAAGAUUGUCGAGUUAAAACCAUUACAGUUAGUUAGCUUUUAUUUAAUUCGGAAAAAAAUAAGUACCAGUUGAUUUGCUUUAAAACUUAUCUCUUAGCGGAAGCUUUUGUAACCAAUUAAUUUAGGGAAAGUCAUUUCUAUUUAUGAAAACCUUAGUUUUUAGAAAAAAACCGUAUUUUGUUGAGUUGCAGUUUUAAAAAAAUCUAUAAAAACAAUAUAAAGUCCCAAAUUUAUAGCCAACCAAUCCAUAGUCCAAAAGUUACAUAAAAACUCCAAAUAAGUAAUAAAUUCUAGAUAUUAAUGGAAAACAGUCUAAAAUUACAUGUGGCCACUGUCGAGUCCUCCGCUACACCGACCUGUCAAGUCUGAGGAUUACCUGUGCACAUAAAACAAAAAGGGUGAGUUUACGUAAACUCAGUGUGUAAUCCCGCAGAUUCAAACAAACAAUUAGUAUUCACAGUGCACAGUUGAACAGUCUUGGGCCUAAGCCCUUUUCAGUACCAGUAACAGUUUGGGCCUUAGCUCAUCUCAAUACAGUGUCAAAAUUGCAGUAGGGCCUUAGCCCAUCACAGUAAUUUCACUUUAUUUAGAAAAAAGAUAUCUCCAAAUUAAUUUGAUCAAUGGUUCACUGCCUUGGAGGCCUGUGUCAAUGAAAGUAUAUUUUUUAAAUUAACUUAUUAUUAAACAUUAAAAAAUAUCUGAAAGAAUAAUUUCUUAUUAAUUUUGUUUUAAGUCACCAAAAUGUAUAUUGAACAAUCAAAUUUAGUGACAAAAUUAAAUAAAAUUUUUAGUUUACUUUCAAAGUUAAAAAUGAGUUAAAUGGUAAUUACUUAUAUUUUCAAAGUGUAAUGAUAAACAUCAAAUAAAAUAUAGUGAUAAAUUUCAAUAAUUUCACAACUGAGUUAGUUUUCAGUUGAUACAUAACACUAAAAUUAAUUAAAGUUUUAAAAUAAUUAUAUAUACUGCUCCCCCCAAGCAUUUAUUUAUUCACUAAUACUUGAAAAGGGUUAUUUGUUGGUCUACUUUGCAGGAUGUUGUUGGGCAUUUUCAGCAAUGGCAGCCAUUGAAGGGUUAAUCAAAAUCAAAACUGGUAAAUUAAUCCCAUUAUCUGAGCAACAACUGUUGGAUUGCAGUAGAAACGGAGGAAACCAAGGUUGCAAAGGAGGAUGGAUGAUGAAUGCUUUCGAUUACAUUAGCCAAAACCAAGGAAUAACCUCUGAAGAAAGCUACCCAUAAGAAACUUGCGACACACAGAUAAACGAAGUUGCCACCACCAGUGGCUAUCAAAUGGUGCCUAAAACGACGAAGAAGCAUUGCUUAAACCCGUCACGAAUCAACCGGUCUCGGUUGCACUUGAAGGCCAUGGACGAGACUUUCAGUUUUACAAUGGUGGAGUGUUUGAAGGAGAUUGUGGAAAUUCUCUCACCCAUGCAGUCACCAUUGUUGGAUAUGGGACAAGUGAAGAAGGCUUAAACUAUUGGCUGAUUAAGAAUUCAUGGGGAGAAACUUGGCGUGAAAAUGGGUAUAUGAGGAUUCAAAGGAAUGUGGAAACGCAAGGUGGCUUAUGUGGUAUCGCCAUGAAAGCUUCGUAUCCAAUUCCAUAAGUUCAUAUAGGGGCAGUUACUAUAAUUAGCUAGUCGUGUCAAAUGGUCUAAGAUAUAUGUUGAUGUUUGCGGUUGUUUGGAACUAUGAGUCUUGCACUCUUGCCAACCUUUUAUCUAUAUAAUGAAUAAAUGAUUAUUUAUUUACAAUUAUUGUAUCACCUUCGAUCUUUUCUGCUAU
rnacentral:lncRNA from 1 species